CAGGCUUUUGGUUCGUCUUCUCCGGCGAGGGCAGGCGGCUAGGGUUUGGGGUCUGGUGUGGGGGUCUUAUUUAUACCCUUUUGCCUUUUGAUCUCAGCCGUCCAUUUUGAUUUAAUCUGGGCCGUCCGUGCGAUUAAAUCUGGGCCGUCCGUGCGCGCGAUUGAUCUGGGCCGUCCGAUCGCGCGCACGCGGAUCGCCAACGUGGCCCGUCCCCGGUCGACGUGGUUUUGCCACGUGGCAGGUCCUGGUUGGCCAGGACUGCUGACUGGGUCUGCUGACGUGGCUGCUGACGUGGCGCGCGCAUUUUUUUUUUCUUCUUCCAUUUCCCGGGCGCUACAACUCUCCCCCCCUUAAAGAAAUUUGGUCCCUAAAUUUGCCUCGUUACUCUUGAUCGAACAGAUGGAGGAUAUUGAGCCCUAAAUUCUGAUUCCAGUUCCCAGGUGGCCUCCCUGGGCGUGUGGUUCUGCCACACGACUUUUACAAAUGAUAUUUUCCGGUUGCGGAGUAUUCUGCUCUCUCGGUCCGUGAUACCGACCGGUACUUCUUCAUAAGACAAGUCCUCUCAGAGUGGAAGCGGUUCAUGAGCCAAGACAUGAGAAGGGUCCGGAUUGUACUUACGUAGCAUAGAUACGUGAAACACAUUAUGAACCCGGGAGAGCUCAGGAGGCAGUGCAAGUCUGUAGGCAGUGGUACCAAUCUUGUCUAAGAUUUCAAAGGGUCCAAUAUAUCUGGGGUUUAAUUUUCCCCUCCUGACGAACCUACUAAUUCCCUUGAAGGGGGUGACUUUAAGAAACAUCUGGUCGCCUUUCUCAAAGGCCAGGUCUCUCCUCCGGGUAUCAGCAUAACUCUUCUGCCUACUCUGAGCUGUCUGGAUGUUCUUCUUGAUCUUAACUAUCUUGGACGUGGUUUCUUCUACCAAAUCCGGGCCAAACAAUCUUCUAUCGCCCACUUCUUCCCAACAGAUCGGUGACCUGCACGGACGCCCGUAUAGCGCCUCGUAUGGGGCCAUGCCGAUGCUUGCUUGGUAACUGUUGUUGUAAGCAAACUCUAUCAGGGGUAGGUGGUCGUCCCAAUGGCCCCCGGAGUCAAGGACACAAGCUCGGAGCAUAUCCUCCAACGUACAAAUUGUCCUCUCUGAUUGUCCAUCGGUUUGGGGGUGGAAAGCAGUACUAAGAGACAACUUUGUUCCCAUAGCUUGCUGGAAACUAUUCCAAAAUCGAGAAGUGAAUCUGGGAUCCCUGUCGGAUACUACUGCUACUGGAACUCUAUGCAGUCUGACUACCUCCCGGAUAUACAUUCUUGCCAACUUGUCCAAAGGAUCAGUCAUUCUGAUGGCCAGGAAGUGGGAAGACUUAGUGAGUCGGUCAACAAUUACCCAUAUAGCAUCAUGUCCCGAUCGUGCCUUGGGUAGUCCCGAUACGAAGUCCAUGGUGAUGUGUUCCCACUUCCACUCUGGAAUCGGUAAAGGCUGAAGUAACCCGCCCGGGCGUUGAUGUUCUGCUUUGACCUGCUGACAUACCAAGCACUUAGAUACAAAGUCGGCUAUAUCUCUCUUCAUCCCAUUCCACCAGAACCGAGGUCGCAUAGUUUGGUACAUUUUCGUACUUCCUGGAUGCAUGGCGAACCUUGAACUAUGGGACUCUGUCAUGAUGUCUCUUUUUAACUCACUGUCGUCUGGGACACACACUCUGUCCUUGAAACGAAUCAAUCCGUCGGCAGAGAUCUGAAAUUCUGAGCUCACUCCCUGUUCUGCAUUCUUCUUGCGGGUUACUAGGGCGGGGUCGACUGACUGGGCUUCCUUUAUUCUUUGGAUUAACUCGGGUUGGACUGCUAGGUGGCCCAUGUGACUCUCUUCAGAUCUCGUAGGCGAACCUGCUGUGUAGCCCCAAUGGACCUACAUUCUGAAACCAUCAGAUGGGCUAGGGUGCCUGCACUUUUCCUGCUGAGGGCAUCGGCCACUACGUUGCCCUUACCUGGAUGGUAUAGGAUGUCACAAUCAUAGUCCUUGAGGAGUUCCAUCCACCUUCUCUGAUGCAUGUUGAGAUCCUUCUGAGUGAAGAUAUGCUUCAAACUCUUAUGAUCGGUGUAGAUCUGAAAGGUCUCUCCAUACAAAUAAUGGCGCCAGGUUUUCAAGGCGUGUAUGAUUGCGGCAAGCUCCAAGUCAUGGGUAGGAUAGUUCUUCUCAUGAUUCUUUAGCUGUCUAGACCCAUAUGCUAUAACCUUUCCAUGCUGCAUUAGGACACAACCCAGGCCCAGAUAGGAGGCAUCACUAUAAACUGUGUACCCUCCUGAUCCACUCGGUAGAGCCAGCACUGGUGCAGUAGUCAGUCGCUUCUUCGACUCUGAAAAACUCCUUUCGCAGUUCUCAUGCCAUUCAAACCUUGCAUUCUUCUUUGUGAGUCAGGUUAGAGGAGCUGCUAGACUAGAGAACCUUUCGACAAACCGGCGGUAAUAACCUGCCAUUCCUAGGAAACUGCAAAUUUCCUUAACUGUUGUCAGCCUUUCCCAACCAAGUACUGCUUCAACUUUUUCGGGGUUCACCGAUACCCCUUCCUUCGAUAUAACAUGUCCUAGGAAGGCGGUUUGUUCGAGCCAAAAUCCACACUUGCUCAACUUCGCAUACAACUUCUUUUUCCUGAGUACCUGUAGGACUUGGGCAAGAUGAUGAGCAUGUUCUUCCCUACUUUUUUAGUAGACUAAGAUAUCAUCGAUGAACACGAUGACAAAUUGAUCCAAGAAUUCUCUGAAGAUUCUGUUCAUUAGAUCCAUAAAGAUGGCCGGGGCGUUGGUUAGCCCAAACGGCAUAACCAGGAACUCAUAGUGUCCGUACCUGGUUUCGGAAUGCCAUCUUGGGGAUGUCUUCUGCUCUCACUUUUACCUGAUGGUAACCUGAUCGUAGAUCUAUUUUAAAAAAGACCUGUGCACCCUGCAACUGAUCGAAAAGGUCAUCAAUCCGGGGAAGAGGGUACUUGUUCUUAAUUGUUACCUUGUUUAUCCUUCUGUAAUCAAUGCACAGUCUCAACGUUCCAUCCCCUUUCUUUGCAAAAGUAACCCCGGCACCCCAUGGGGAAAUGCUGUGUCUAAUGAAGCCACUGUUUUGUAGCUCAGUGAUUUGUUUCCUUAGUUCUUCCAUCUCGAUGCGGCUCAUUCGGUAAGGAGCUACCGAGAUGGGCUGGGUUCCUAGCUGUAAGUCUAUGGUGAACUCGACCUCUCUGUCCCCUGGCAGACCGGGCAGUUCAUCCGGGAAUACGUCUGGAAAGUCUCGGACUACUGGAAUCUCUUGGAUACAAACUUCUUUCUUGGGUUUACCUAGUUAGAGAAAAUACAAGAUUAAGACACUGGAAAUUAAGAAAAAAAAGAAUUUGCCAUUAGGGGAAAUCAGUACCGAAUAAUUUUAUUAACUUGUAAAUGGCUCCUCGUUGGGAGGAUUAAAUACAAUCUUUUUGUUAAAGUAGUCUAUGGUGGCAUGAUACGCUGCUAGCCAGUAUUGAGCCUCUUCAAAAGAGGAUCCCCCUGCAAAAGUAGAAGGGUUCAGUCUUCUGUACCUCUCUAUGAAGCCGGGGUCGAUCAAGGAAGGAGCGGGGUCCCGGGGUAGAGCGACUAGGGCCGGCUGAGGGUGAACUGGGGGACCCUGUGGUGGCACCUGCUGAUGUGGUGGGGGUAUUGGAAUGUGCUGUGGCGGCGCCUGCUGGUACCGUGGCUGUGGUACAGGGUCUACCGCGGCUGUGGCGCCGGGUGGUACUGUGGAGGAACAGGCUCCUGCCGGGGUAGCUCGGGAUCAGCCUGCUGUAGCGGGGGCUCAACCUGCGCUAGCGGAGGAGGUCCGGGUAACUCCCUUCUCUCCUCUUGCCUUUGCUGGGCAGCUACGAGAGCCUCCACCAUCUCAAAUAGUCUGUCUAAAUCCUCCCGAAGCGAAUUAUCUUGGGCCGCUCGGUUUAGUGGGGGCCUUCCUCUCCUCAUUCCCGUGUACUCGUUUUCACAAGGAAUGAUUGAGUAUUACUCUAAGGCACUAUUGUGUAAGGGAUGGAUCCGAGGAAAUGCGGCUCUGAUACCAACUGUAACAGCCCCGGAAAUUCAUAAUGAAAUGUAUAUUAAAAAUAUCAAAUGCGGAAGCGAAGUCAAAAUUUGAAUAACAUCCCUUACACUAAAACCAAAAAUGUGCUCACAAAAUAUAAAAGAUCAAACUACCUAAAGGAAAAACUUGAAAGUAAAAGCUACAAAUAUGGCUAUGUAGUCUUUAGGCGUCCCCUUCGUCGUCCUCCUGCGGAACUGGCUCGGGAACAAGAUCUUCCUGAUCUGAAAUGAUUAAAUAAGGAAUGAGCUACACUAGCCCAGUAAAGACAUCACGAUAUCUCACUGUCACGGAGGUAAAGGUGGGUAGAAAACACAAAAAGACCAAUGGAGCAUAAUUUACAACAAAACCUUUUAUCAAUAAUAAAACCUUUACCAUUAUCAUCAUCAAUAUACGAAAACAAUAACAUUAUCAUCAUCAUGAAAUCAUAUAUAUAAACUGUAUAAUGUAAUACCUAUCAAGUCUUUCGUAAUACAAUCGUUACACAACAUAUUUUUCCUCUUUUACCAGCCCACUAGUAUCCAUAGGGAUCCAUAGGGGUCCCGCUACCCGUUAACCCUUAACACUUGAAAUCAUAUUCCAGGGCCGUCCCCAUACCCCGUCCGGUAUGGGCGCCAAAACUAUAAACCUCAUUACCCCGUCCGGUAUGAGGGUGAAACGGGCCGUCCCCAUACCCCGUCCGGUAUGGGCGCCAAAACACAUAAGAUCUCCAUACCCCGUCCGGUAUGGGCGCCAAAACACAUAAGAUCUCCAUACCCCGUCCGGUAUGGGAGACCACAAUCCCGGUAGGUUUCUCUACGGACCCGGUCCGUCCACCAUCUCCCAGGAUAUCUAGUCAGGCUGACCACAUUAUACAAUUACUCAUUUACAUAAUCUUUCAUUCUCUCUUUCCCUCAGUCAGCAUUAUCAAUCCACAUACAAACAAGCAAAACGAUAAUUUAUGCCAAACAGACAACAUACAGUAUCAAUAUCCCAGUCAUUCAAUCCAUAAUCGAUAAAACAGUAAAAAUAUGCACACGAAACUAUAAAAUGAAAACAUCAAACCUCAUGCUGCAUUUAAAACUGUAAAACAGGCCAAAUAACAGUUAACCGACAAACACACUAGACUCGGGCUCCAUUAGCGACCUUAAGCAAUUUCACACAUUCGUUGAUUUAUGAAAUACCAUUUUAUCAUUUAUUGAACUUUAAAAUCGUGAUAGGAAAUAGGGUGAGGGGUCCUUACUCGUUUCGGAGUCCCAACACGGCUUCACAGUGCGCUUGCAGGCUGUCCCUAAUUUUCUCUGAAUUUUUCCCGGGGAACUGAAACGCACUACUGGUACCUGCACGUGUUCCAAUAUCGCAACUCCGGCACGGUGGCUCCGCCGUGCUCCGGCGACGGCUCCGCCGCUUGCGGCGGCGGUUCGCCUCGGGUUGGCCAUUUUCGGCCGAAUUCGGCCACACUCGCAUUGGUUCCUGCGAUAAAACAACCCUACGGCCCUCGGGGGGCCGAAAAUUUACGGAAAACCGAAGCUUACCGGCGGCGGUGCUCUCGGGUGCGGCGGCUCUCCGGUGAAGUUCGUGUUUUGGUGAUUCGGCUCCGACCAACCUGUAGAGAAAAGAAUGGUGAUCACGGUGAUAUAAAAAUUGCAUUAAACGGAGGCCGGGAAGGGCCUCAUCGGAGGCAAAAAUCGAGAAGGGGUGCGGUGGCGCCGCUGGCUUUCGGCCCUUUGGCCUGGAUUUUGGCUCCGAUUUGGCCACUGGGGAAAUCAACGUGGAAAAACGAGUCGAGGGUAUGAAAUUUACCUCGAUCGGCGGUCGGAAAUCCCUCCGGUGCGGCGGCGGCAGCCGGCUUUUGGUUCGUCUUCUCCGGCGAGGGCAGGUGGCUAGGGUUUGGGGUCUGGUGUGGGGGUCUUAUUUAUACCCUUUUGCCUUUUGAUCUCAGCCGUCCAUUUUGAUUUAAUCUGGGCCGUCCGUGCGAUUAAAUCUGGACCGUCCGUGCGCACGAUUGAUCUGGGCCGUCCGAUUGCGCGCACGUGGAUCGCCAACGUGGCCCAUCCCCGGUCGACGUGGUUUUGCCACGUGGCAGGUCCUGGUUGGCCAGGACUGCUGACUGGGUCUGCUGACGUGGCGCGCGCGUUUUUUUUUUUUUUUUUUUCUUCUUCCAUUUCACGGGCGCUACAAUAUAUAUGCACAUACAUAAUUUGUAUGGUUGCAUACCUUUAUAUCACAAAUUUGCAACUAGAAUUUGAUGAGACGACAUAAUCACAAGUCAUCUAAUACACCACAAACAAUUAGCAAGGAAAAAAAUUCUUAAAACAUUUAGAGAUAUUCAUAGAUAUAGAAGAUUUAUUCAGUGUAUAAAAAUAUCAAGAUAUUAAAAAUAAUUUUUUUAAUUAAAAAUAAAUAAAAUAUUACUAAUAUAUUAAAAAUAUAAAACUAUAAGAAAUAUUUAAUGGAUUGAACAUUAAAGAUAGAAGAUUUAAUUUUUUUUUUUUUUUAGUUUUUGGAACAACUAGACAUUUUAUGUUUUAAGAAUAUAAUUGUUAUACCCCAAAUCUAAUUAUUCGAUUUUAAUAUAUGACAAUAAUAUUUUUAUUAUCAUAUUUAUUAUCUUAUUGUUUAAUAUAUAUGAUAAAGUCAUUGAUUAAAUUUAGAGACUUUAUAUUAAGAUUGAGAAAAUUUUUUAUGAUUUAAUCUAAAAUGUUCUUAGUUAUUGUAUCACUAAAUAUGACAUUAAUGAUCCGAUAAAACUAAUAUAUAUGUAAUAAUCUUUAUAAGAUAAAUAUUAGUUGAUCUUAUUUAUUAAAUCACAUACAUAGAAGAUGCAUAUGGAGAUAUGAUUAUUGAACCAAUCCAAUUAAAAAUUCAUAAUUGUGAAUAUUAUCUUAAUAUGUCAAUAAAAUAUUCUUUUAAAAUGAUGAGACAUAAAAUUUUUUUUUGACAUGAAUUCAUUAUAGUAAUUGACAAGUUAUUUAUCAUACUUUGAUUUUGCAUACCUAUAAUCAUAGAACUAUAGUUGAAAGUAUAUUGGGUGUGAUUAAAUAUUUGUAGAAUUAGUGAUUGAUCAAGACUGUAGCACCCGGAAAGGAGGAGGAAACAAAAAAAAAAAAAAAAAAAGGGGGGGGGCCACGUCAGCAGCCACGUCAGCAAGCCCGGUCAGCACCCGGCCAACCAGGGCCUGCCACUUGGCAAGACCGCGUCACUCCAAAAGGAGCCACGUUGGCGAUCCGCGUGGGUGCGAUCCGACGGCCCAGAUCAAUCACGCGAUCGGACGGCCCAGAUUCAAUCGCACGGACGGCCCAGAUUCAAUCAAAAACGAACGGCCCAGAUUAAAACAAAAUGAACGGCUGUGAUCAAAAGGCAAGGGGUUAUAAAUAGAACCCUCACACCAGACCACAAACCCUAGCCGCCAGCCGCUCGCCGGAGAAGACGAACCAGAGGCCGACCGCCGCCACCCGCCGCCACUCGCCGCCGCACCGGGGAAAUUUCCGACCGCCGAUCGAGGUAAAUUUCAUACCCCCGACUCGUUUUUCCCCACUGAUUCCUCCUAUGGCCAAAUCGAAGCCGAAAUCCCGGCCAAACGGCCGGAAUACGCGGCCGAAGCCCAGCGGCGCCGCCGCGCCCCCUCUCGGUUUUUGCCUCCGACGAGGCCCUUCCCGGCCUCCGUUCGAUGCAAUUUUUAUAUCACCGUGAUCACCAUUCUUUUCUCUACAGGUUGACCGGAGCCGAAUCACCAAAACACGAACCUCGCCGGAGAGCCGCUGCACCCGAGAGCGCUGCCGCCGGUAAGCUCCGUUUUUCCGUGAUUUUUUGGCCCCCCGAGGGCCCUAGGGUUGUUUUCUGACAAGGACCAAUGCGAGCGUGGCCGAAUUCGGCCGAAAACGGCCGAAAACAGCCAACCCGAGGCGACUCGCCGCCGCCAGCGGCGGCGCCGUCGCCGGAGCACGGCGGAGCCGCCGUGCCAGAGUUGCGAUUUGGGCCGAAGGAGGCCCUGGGCCUAAUUUGGAUUUUUUUUUGGAACACGUGCAGGUACUGUUAGUGUGUUUCAGUUUCCCGGGAAAAAAUUCAGGGAAAAUUAGGGACGGCCUGCAGGCGCACUGUGAAUCGUAUUCGGAUCCCGAAAACAAGUAAGGACCCCUCACCCUAUUUCCUAUCACGGUAUUAAAGUUCAAAAUGAUAAAACGGUAUUUCUUGAAUUAACGAAUGUGUGAAAUUGCUUAAGGUGGCUAAUGGAGCCCGAGUCUAGUGUGAUUGGUGAUUUACUGUUAUUUGGCCUGUUUACAGUUUUAAAUGCAAAAUGAGGUUUGAUGUGUUCAUUUCACAGAUUUGUGUGCAUAUACUACGUUUUUAUUAAUCAUGGGUUGAAUGACUGAGAAACUGAUACUGUAUGUUGUCUGUUUGGCAUGAAUUACUGUUUGCUUGUUUGUAUGUGAAUUGAUGAUGCUGAUUGAGGAAAAGGAAAAUGAAACAUUGUGUAGACUGAUAAUUGUAUUAUGGGGGUCAGCCUGACUAGAUAUCCUGGGAGAUGGUGGACGGACCAGGUCCGUAGGGAACCCUACCGGGAUUGUGGUCUCACAUGCCGGACGGGGUAUGGAGAUCUUAUGGUUUUGGCGCCCAUACCGGACGGGGUAUGGGGACGGCCCGUUUCACCCUCAUACCGGACGGGGUAUUGAGGUUUAUGGUUUUGGCGCCCAUACCGGACGGGGUAUGGGGACGGCCCGUUUCACCCUCAUACCGGACGGGGUAUUGAGGUUUAUGGUUUUGGCGCCCAUACCGGACGGGGUAUGGGGACGGUCCUGGAAACUGAUUAUGAAUGUUAAAGGUUAACGGGUAGCGGAACCCCUAUGGACCCCCACGGAUACUAGUAGGCUGGUAAAUGAGAAAAAAGAUAUGUUGUACAAUGAUUGAAUUACAAGAGGCGUGAUAAGUGUUAUGUUUUACAGCUUAGAUUAUUCAAUGAUUAUGAUAAUGUUAUUGUUUUUCUCAUAUUGUUUUCAUAAAUUCCACCAAGGUAAGUGGAUGGUAAAGGUUUUCAUGUUAAUAAACGAGUUUGUUGUAAAUUAUGCUCCAUUGGUCUUUUUGUGUUUUUCUACCCACCUUUAUCUCCGUGACGGUGAGAUAUCGUGAUGUUCUUACUGGGCUAGUGUAGCUCACUCCUUAAUUAACCAUUUCAGAUCAGGAAGACAUGGUUCCCGAGCCCGUUCCGCAGGAGGACGACGAAGGGGAUGCCUAGAGACUCUGUAGUCAUACGCAUAGUUUAUUUUCGAGUUUUCUUUCUUAGUUAGUUUAACCUUUUAUAUUUUAAGUACGUUUUUGGUUUUUCGUGUAAGGGAUGUUAACUGAAAUUUUGAUCUCGCUUCCGCAUUCGAUAUAUUUAAAUACUCAUUUCUUUUUAAUAUUUUCCGGGGUUGUUACAAAGACAGAAUCUGUCAACUUUAAUAAUAAAUUUAAACUCUAUAUUAUGAUUUAUUAUAAUAACUAAAUUAAGACAUUGGUCAAGACAAUUGAAUGAAAUAAGAAAAGAGUUUCUUAUUUCAUUCAUUAGUCAUUUACAAUUGACAUGAAACAUAAUUAGUUACUUAAUGAGAUUUGAUAGUUAAAUCAUAUCUCAUAGUUAAUUUGGAGCAAUAAUGACAAAAUAAAAUAUUAUAUCAUUCUUUAACAUAUUCUUAAGAGUAAUUGUACAUUUCAUGUUAUUUGAUCGUUAAAAAGUAUUGUUAUACGCUAACCUUGAUCAAUAAAUUGGUUUGACCAAUUUACUACCAGUUUGUAUUGAAUUUAUGGGGUCACACACUAACAAAUGUUCUGACUUUUUUUAGAUUAAUUAUUUUAAUUAUUUAAUAAUUAAAUUAGAAAAUUUAAUUUAAUCAAAUAAAUAAAAUUUUUAAUCUAGAUUAAAUAUUAUUAUAUUUUUUGCUAGCUUAGAAAAUAUAAUUAAUAUUUGAAACAAAUUAAAUUUUUUAUUUUAAAAUUAUAAAAUUAAUAUUUAUAUUUUUAGUUAUUAUAUUAUUAGUGUAAUAAUAUAAUAUAUAUGGAGAUUAUAAUAAUAGAGAUUAUUAUAAAAUUUAAUUUGAAAUUGAAUUGAUUUAUAAAAUUAUUUUAUUAAAUAACUAUAAUAAUAAGCAAUAUAUAUAUAUAUAUAUGAGAUAUAUAUAUAAUUGGGUGUUAAAAAAAAAAAAAGGAGAGUCUAAAUUGGUUUGGAUGGUACAGGAAGUUGUACUUGAAUUUUAUAUAUAAGAUAUAUAUGUGUGUGUGUGUGUAAUUGGGUGCUGAAAAAAAAAAUAAAAAGUCGAAAUUAGUUUGGACUUGUACAGAAAAAAGUUCAAAUAGGAAUUAAUAGCUACCCACACCACUUAUAUAUAUGUGAGAUAUAUAUAUAUAUAUAUGAAUGGGGAUUACAAAAUCGGAGAAGAGAAAAAAAAAAAUCCCAGCAGCGUACGCACUAAAAGAAAAGAAAAAGAAAUUGAGUGAUUUUUUUUUUAAAAAAAAUUUUAUGAGAAAGUUUUAAUAUAAAUAUUAUUUAAUUUGUUUGCAUAUUUAAUUGAUUAAAUAGUUGAUUACCAAAGGUAGAUUUCAGUGUUAUACAUAUAAAUAGUUCUUAUUUUCUAAUAAUUUUAAUUUAAAAAUUCAUUGUAAAAUAUAUUUUAGAUUUAAUUUUUAACCUACAAUAUAAUUUUUAAAAUACAAAUAGUUCAUAUUAAAGGCCAGGAGCAUACGGCAUAUCAUAAACAUACUACAAUGUUAUAGUGAUAUCUAUAAGUUUUUGUGUUUAAAUUAUAUUACUAUAUUAUAAUUUUUAAUAUCAUAUCUUAAAUAUUUGAAAAGUUUAAAUAUGAAAAUUAUUAUUUAAUUAUUUUGAUUUUAUUUGUAAUAUUUUUUUAUUCAUAUGAUGAAUUAAAAAGAAAAAAAAAGGUUUAAUUGUUCCCGGUAUAUAUAUAUAUAUAAGAGAUAUAUAUUAAAUUGAGCUAAUGCAAAAAUUCGGGUAGCCACAAUAUAUACAUAAAUAUAUAUAUAUAUAUAUACAUACAUAAUUUUGGCAGCUAAUGAAAAAUUAAAGCAGCUGCAAUAUAUGUAUGGGAGAUAUAUAUAUAUAAAUUUUUUUGGGGCUGUUGAAAAAUUAGGGCAUAAUAAGUAUAUAUAUAAUAUAUAUGUAUGUAUAAUGUGGAAAAAAAUUAGAGAAAAUGAAAAGUAUAAGUUUGGACGAUAGCCCCUGCACUAAUAUAUAUAUAUAUAUAUAUAUAUAUAUAUAUAAUAUGUAAAAAAAAAUUAAGUAAUAUCCGAGUCCAUAAUUUGUUUUCCCUUUAAGUGCGACCUGACAGUCAAUAUCAAAUCACGAUAAACGGUUAAAAUUUAUUUUCUCCUUAAAUGCGAACUGACGGUCGAGAUCAAACGUGAUGAAUGACUCAAAUUAACGCGAUAUGAGUAUAAAUAUUUCGCAUCACACUGAACUCAAACCCUAACUGUCAGCCUCCCGCCGGAGAAGAAGAAUCACUCACCAAAGAAGGGAGCCGACAACCGACCGUCGCCACACCAGAGCCACCUCCGACCGUCAAAAAAUAUUAAAAUUCUCUUAUCCACUUGGAAUCCGAUUCUGAGCACCUCUGUGGCAAUAUCGGAGCAAAACGAACUGCAGGUGAGCCAGAAACCCUAGGCAAAGUCCGGCGAUGACGUCGUGGGCAAAACCCGCAACCUCCUCCAAUGAGCCCAUUCCCUUUUUUAGUUUCCCAUUUUGUGCAAAUUUUUCAUCGUUGUGUUCACUGUUCUAUUUUUUACAGGUUGACUGAAGAAAAAAUCCUAACCACGAAGGUGAGCCAGUGGAGCUGCCGCAUCCGAAAAAUUCUACCACCGGUAGGUUUUCGUUUUCUGAUUUUUUCGGUCAACCAAGGCCCCCUAACGUAUUUUUUCGUAGGGAUAUAUAUAAAAUCGACCAAAACCGGCCAAACGGGCCAAAAACUACCAGAUCGAGGCAAACCACCACCGCGGGUGGUGGUGCCGGUGCCGGAGCACGGCAGUGUAUCUGUGCCAGAACCCUGAAAUUGGCCGAAAAUGACUUUUAACACCAAUUUUGGGUUUUUUGGGGUAUUUUUAGGUACGUGAAACGUGUUUUAAUCACCACAAAAAAAAAUCAAGAAACCCAGGGACCGCCAGUAGGCGUAGUAGAAAUUUCAGUGUUUCGGAUAUUGAUUCGGGUAAUGAUUUCUCACUCUUUUCUCUGUUAUGGCAAAUUGAGGCUUAAUAAUUAAUAAUUAUGUGUUUUAUGAAAAAAUUAGAAAACCUUAAAAAUAAUUAUAGGUCACUAGUGGAGUCGGAAUCGGUUAGUUCAUGGUCGUUUCGAUUUCUUAUUUAUUUUCCUAUAUUACCUAUAUUAGUUACUAUUAUACUAUGCGUAACUUAAUUGAUGAUUUUUAGGGUCUUUUUGGUUAUUUGGUUAUUAGUUUCCUCUGCAUUGUGUGCCGGUACUUCGGUCAUUGGUUAUUUGGCUGUGUUAAACUAUAUUGUUGUGUAAGUGAACUGUGAGUAUAAAAUGAGAUAUGGUUAUUGUGUGGUUGAUUAUUAUACUUAUAGAAAUCUAUAUGAAAAAUACUUAUUGGGUACCUGACAAUAGGCGAACGGGCUGUAACGGCCUCAUAAAUCCAAAAGGAAACAUAUAAUAAUUUAAGUACGGAAGUGAAAUAAAAUGUUAAGAUUUACAUACCUUACACAAGAACUUAAAAGUACUAAACAAACAUUACGGAAUGAAUUCUCUGAAAAAAAAACACGAGAAAUAAGAAAGUAACGGAAAAUGAAAAGUAUCUAGCAUCUACUCGCAAUCUUCUUGCGUAUCGGGCUCUGGAACCAGGUCUUUCUGAUAUGAAAUAGUUAAAUAAAGGAUGAGCUACACUAGCCCAGUAGCAUAUCGCACUAUAUCACCGGCAUAGAAGUAAAGGUUAGUAGAAAAUCAAAACAACUAAUGGAGCACUAAAUUUAGCAAAUUCGUUUAUCAAUCAUAAAAUCAUUUACCGUUCACUUACCAUUACGAAAUUUAUGAAAACAACUUAUAGAGAUAAUAAUAUCAUACAGAUCAUAACUUCAUGCACAAUCAACAACAUAGAACAUAUCAUAAAUUUAUAUUCAUUAACAAUAAACCAAAUCAUAACUGUUUCUCGUUUUACCAGCCUACUAGUAUCCAUGGGGAUUCAUAGGGGUGUCCCCACUGCACGUGAACCCUUUCCCUUAACAAUCUCAAUUACAGAGUCGUCCCAUACCUCGUCCAAUAUGAGGGCCAAAGACAUUAAAUCUCAAUACCUCGUCUGGUAUGAGGAUGAAGCAGGUCAGCAGGUCGUCCCCAUACCCCAUCCGGUAUGAGCGCCAAAUUACCAAGUCUCCAUACCCCGUCCGGUAUGAGACAGCAUUCACGGUAGGGUUUCUUAUAUACCCAGUCCGUCCACCAUCUCCCAAGAUAUCUAGUAAGGUUGUUCUUACUAUCUGUUUAUUUGAUCACAACCCUUUCUUGUUUUCCCUUAGUCUCCAUUAUCAAAUCAAAUAUAAUCACAUAAACAAAUAAAAAUACAUCCGAUAAUGCAAUCAUGUCUCAAUCCCAAAAUCAAACAGUGGUCAAGUAAGACAGUAAUACAUGCAUUUAAACCAUAAAAUAGAUAAACCAGAUACAAUCAUGCUUUUAGAGUUUAAAAUAAAUCAACAAAAAUUAACAGAGAAUAAUGUCUGGUUCGGGCUCUAUUAGCAAUUUGUAAUUAAUUAUGCACAUCUAUUUAAUUUAUACAAAAUACCGUAUUAUUAUUUAUUCAAAAUUCAAUUCUAUGAUAGAAAAUAGGGUGAGGUGGUCCUUACUUGAUUUGAUGCCGAAAAGCUAAAUAGUUUACUGCGCCUACGGGCGGUCCCUAGGUUUCCUGAAUUUUUCUCCGGGAAUUGAAACGCGCUUAUGGUACCUAUAAAUGUCCCAAACAAACUCAAAAAUCAGUCCCAAGGCCUACUUGGCCAAUUUUAAAAAUUCAGCAUGACGGUUCCGCCGUGCUCCGACGACGGCGCUGCCUCCUGUUGCGGUCCGCCUCGGGUCAGUGUUUUCGGUCGUUUUUGGCCGAACUCGAUCGAUUUUACAUUGAUUCCUGUGAGCAAACAUACUAAAGGGCCUCAUCAGAGGCGAUUUGUGAAAUUCCAUGCGGCAGUAUUUUUCAGCUAAUUGGCUGGUUUUUUCACUCCAAUUUAGCCAUGGAUGAGUUUUAAAUUGAAUUUCGUGCAAAAUUUUUUUUUUUUUGCCUUUUUUGGCUGUCGAAAAGAGUUUCGGUGCGGCGGUAGGUGGUGGUGGUUGGCUCCUCGGCGAUUGGGUUGUCUUCUCUCGCGAGGGGUUCUGGCGGCUAGGGUUAAGGUUUGGGUGCAUAUGGGGUUAUUUAUACCCAUCCGCUUUUAAUCUGAGCCGUCCAUCACUUUUGAUCUGGAUUGUCCGAUCGCGAUUAAAUAGGGAGUCAAUUUGGACUGUUCAUCGCGAUUCAAUCUGGGUUGUCCGUACGCGAUUCACUCUAGGCCGUCCGUGCGCACGUGAACGAAACUCAGCUGUUCGAUCGCGCGCACGCGGAUCGCCCACGUGGCUCCCCCUGCGUGGCCCCCCACAUCAGCGACUCUGCCACUUGACGCGUCCUGGUUGGUUGAGGCUGCUAACCGGGCGUUUGACGUUACGCAAUUUUUUUAAAUUGUGUUUUGACCCUCAGCUUCUAAUUUUUCUUUCAAAAAUACCUCAAAAAUCCAAAUUUUCACUCCUUUUCCCCAAAAUUAUUUUCAGUUUAAUCUUUUAUCAGUUUAUCAAUUUUUUUCAUUAAAAUAAAUUAAAUUAAAUUAAAUUAAAUAAUUAAAAAUUAUAUUUAUUUAUUAAAAAAAGACAAAAAUAAAAUAAAAAAAUCAAAAAUAAAAUUUUAGGUGGGUGUUACAGGGGCUGGUACAUAGAGAACCCUACCGUGAAUGUUAUCUCAAUCGGAUGGGGCUGGGAAGUCCCUUACCAAUAAAGUUUGGGAGAUAUGGUUCACCUUCAUACUGUACGAGGUAUCGAGGUGGUGGAAUAUUUGGCGCCCAUUACCGAACAGGAUAUGAGGAGGACAAGUUAAUUAUUUAAUUGGAUAUUAGGUUCACGAGUAGAAUGACAUCCUUAUGGACCCUCAAGGGUACCUGUAAGUGGGUAAAGAUGUAAAGUGAUUGUUUUUGGUUAUCUUCUAUAUGAUAAAUAAUAGUGCAUUAAUAUGAGUUUUCAUAAGUUAUUGUUGGGAAAGACUUGUUACACAAAUAUAGAAUAAAUAACUUUUUUUAUAAUAAAUGAAUUUACAUUAAAUUAAGGGCUCCAUUAAUAGUUUUUCUCAUUUUUACUAAUCUUUAAUUUUCAUAUCUAUUAUUAGUGUGAUAUUCUUACUGAGCUAGCGUAGCUCACCCCUUUAUUAAUUAUUUCAUAUAAAGAGGAUCAAGAUCCAGAUCCCGAUCAACAGGGGGUUGUGAAUAAUUCACCACCCAGACUCCCUUCAAAUGCUAGUGAAGAUCGUAUUAGGAUACUUAGUGAUUUACUUUUCGUUUAUUUUUUUUAUUUCCGUUUGUUCUUUUAAAAGUAACAUUCUUGUAACCCUAUUGGGCAUUCUAAAGUAUUGUAUAAAAAAUGUAAACUUUAAUUCUAUUAUUUCGCUUCUGCAUUUAAUUUAUGAUUUUAUUUACAUUUAAGUUUUGGACCUUUACAAAUUAUGUUGUAGUGCUGUCACCCUGCUGUCCAUAUACAUAUAUGUAUAUAUGAGAGAGAGAUAUAUAAUAUAUGGAUUGUCAAAAAAAAAAAAAAGAAAAAAAUGCAAAAGGGAAAGGAUAAAUUGGGUUGGAGUUGUACCCUCAGCAUCAAUAUAUAUAUAUAAUGUGUUAAAAAAAAUUAAUUAAUUUGGAGUUGUAGCCCCUGUAAUCUUAUACAUAUAUAUAUAUAUAUGUGACAUGUAUAUAUAUAUAAUGUGGGUGGAAAAAAUAUUUUGAAUAUUUUUUUUUAUAUAUUUACAACAAUUUUUGGAAUACUUUUUAUAUUUUAGAAAUCCCAAAUAUAUAUCAUUGACAUAUUUAAUUUUUAUUUAAUUACUGCAUGUAUAUUUGUUUUUUUGUGUGUGUAAUUUUGAAUUAAGUGUUACAUGUGAUAUAAAUUUAUUAGGAUUAAUUGCAUGUAGAUAAUUUAAACAAAAUUAAUUUUAUACUAGUGAUUUUGUAACACCCAAAUUUAUUAUUUUUAUUAUUUAAUUCAUUUUAAUUUAUAUUAGAAUUUUUGUUUAAUUUUUUAUUCUAUUUCAAUAUUUAAUUUAUAAGGUUUUAAUUUAAUUUAAUAAAAAUAAAAAUAAUAAUAAUAAUAUAGGGUAAAAUUAUUUUUGAGAUUUAAUUGAAAUUGAUUUUUGGAAAAAAAAAGGUGAAAAUUUGGAUUCUGGGGGCGUUUUUGAAAAGAAAAUCGAAAAUCGGGGGUCAAAACGUAAUUUAGAAAAGUUAUGCCACGUCAGCAACCACGUUAGAAGCCCAGUCAACAGCCCCGGCCAACCAGAACACGUCGCCUGGCAAGGAAGCUGACGCGGGAGGCCACGUGGGAUGGAGCCACAUGGGCGAUCCGCGUGCACGCGAUCGAACGGUCCAGAUCUCACACGUACGGACGACCCAAAUCUCACGCGCACGGACGACCCAGAUCUCAUGCGUGCGGACGACCUAGAUUGAAUCAUGCACGGAUGGCUCAGAUCGCAUCGCGAUGGACGGCCCAGAUUUAUUCUCAUUUUAAUCGUGAUCGGACGGCCCAGAUUAAAUCGUGAUUGACGGCUAAGAUUAAAAAGGGAAGGUUAUAAAUAACCUCACCCACACCCAACCCCAAACCCCAGCCGCCAGUACCCUCGCCGGAGAAGAAGAACCAGUCACCAGAGGAGUCGGCCGCCGCCACCCGACACCGCACCGGAGGAUUUUUUGACCGCCAAACGAGGUAAAUUUUCUCUCCUUGGCUCGUUUUUCGAUACUGAAUUCGCCUAUGGCUAAGUCGGAGCCAAACCACCGGCCAAUCGGCCGAAAAACACCGCCGAAGUCCAACGCCGCCGCCGCGGCUUCCCUCAAUUUUUGCCUCCGAUGAGGCCCUUUCCGGUUCCCGUUCGAUGCAAUUUUUACACCACUGUGAUCACCGUCCUUUUCUCUACAGGUUGACCGAAGCAAAACAUCAAAUCGCAACUCGCGCCGGAGAAGCCGCCACACCCGAGAGCUCCGCCGCCGGUAAGUCUCAGUUUUUCAUGAUUUUUUGGCCCACCGAGGGCCCUAGGGUUGUUUUAUCGCAGGAACCAAUGCAAGUUUGGCUGAAUUCGGUCGAAAACGGCCAAUCCGAGGCGGAUUGCCGCCGCAAGCGGCGGUGCCGUCGCCGGAGCACGGAGGAGCCGCCGUGCCGGAAUUUUGAUAUUGGCUGAAAAGGGGCCUGGGUCUGAUUUGGGAUUUUUUGGGACACGUGCAGGUACCGGAAGUGUGUUUCUGUUUCUCGAAAAAAUUCAGGAAAUUUAGGGACAGCCCGUAGGCGCAGUGAGAACCCGAUUUCAGACCCCGAAACAAGUAUUUCUUAUCACGGUAUUAAAGCUCAAUAAAUAAUAAAACGAUAUUUCAUGAAUUAAUACAUGUGUAUAAUUAAUUAAGGUUACUAACGGAGCCCAAAUCUGAUGUAUUUUUCGAUCAGUUGUUGUUUGAUUUAUUUUACAGUCUAAAUGCAUCAUGGUAUCUGAUGUAUUUAUUUUAUGAUUUCGUAUGCAUGAAUCACGGUUUCGUCUAUUCUGGUUUGAAUUAUCUGGAACCCGAUGUUGUGUUGUUUUAUUUGGUGUUCAUUACUGGUUUACGUGUUUGUGUAUAAUUGGAUAAUUGAGACCAAGAAAAAUGAAAAAAGGUAUGUGAAUUCAUAAAUGGAUAAUGGCUAAAGCCUUACUAGAUAUCCUGCGAGAUGGUGGACGGACCGGGUCCAUAGGGAACCCUACUGGGAACGUGGUCUCUCAUAUCAGACGGGGUAUAGAGAUUUUAUGUGUUUUGGCGCCCAUACCGGACGGGGUAUUGAGGUUCAUGAUUUUUAGGCGCCCAUACUGGACGGGGUAUGGGGACAGCCCUAAAAUUAAGGUAUUAAUGUUAAUGGUUCACAUGUAGCGGGGACCCUUAUGGAUCCCCAUGGAUAUUAGUAGGCUGGUAAAAGAAGAAAUUUGUUGUCUGAUUAUUGAGGUACAAAAGUAUAACAUAUGUUACGUUACAAAGUGUAUAUGAUUUUAUGAUGGUUAUAAUGUUAUUAUUUUUAUAUGUUAUUUUCACGAAUCUCACCGAGGUAAGUGGACAGUAAAGGUUUUUAUUAUUGAUAAAUGAAUUUAUCAUGAAUUAUGCUCCAUUAGUUGUUUUUGUUUUUCUAUAAACCUUUAUUUUUAUGACAGUGAGAUAGUGUGAUGUCUUUACUGGGCUAUUGUAGCUCAUUCCUUAUUUAACCAUUUCAGAUCAGGAGGAUUUAGUUCCCAAGCCCGUCCCACAGGAAGACGGCGAGUAGACGCAUAAGGAAUUCAUAGUUUUAUUUAUAGCAUUCAUUAGUCGUAUUUGCCUUAGUUAGUUUAUUCUUUCACACGUUGAAUACGUUUUUAGUUAUUGUGUAAGAGAUGUUUAUCAGAAUUUUUAUUUCGCUUCCGCACUUAGAAUUUUUAAUACAUACAUUUUCGUUUAUAUUUCUGGGGCUGUUACAAAUUUAAUCAUUAUGUUUUUUAUAAUUAUUUUGAUAAUUAUAUUCUCUAAUUUGAAAUUGAGCUUAUGAUAAUAUUUUAUUAUAUAAUUUACCAUCAAAAUAAAUAAAUUUAUUUAUUUUUUGUUUAUAAAGAACAGUCUAACAAAUAGGAGAUUUGUAGUUCAAAAAUUAAAUAAAGUUGUCUGUUGCAUAAAAUAUAAGAUAUUUUAUUAUAUACCUUGCCAUCAAAACAAAUAAAUUUAUUUUUUUAUUGUUUAUAAGGAACGAGCUGACAACUAGAAGACUUGUAAUUCGAAAAUAAAAUAAAAUUAUUUAUUGUAUAAGAUACAUAUAAAAAAAUAAUUAUUUUAAUUUUAUAUUAAUUACUGUACUACACGAAAAAUAUAAAAUUUUAUUAAUUUUUUGUCAUUAUGAUGGUUGAACUCAACUAUACCAAUAGGAAGAACUUGACAAUCAAAAGAAUAUUUAGUAUAGAGUAAUUUGUGGAAGUUGUAUAGAGAUACAAUUGGUAAGAGUAAUUAUCUUUCAAAUAUAUGUGAGAAUCGAUUUGACUACCAAUAAACUCAUUCAUGUUGUUAGAGCAUGUAACACCCACCUAAAGCUUUUAUUUUUAUUUUUUUAUUAUUAAUAAAUAUAAUUUUUUGAUUAUUUAAUUUAUUUUAUUAUGUUAUAUUUUGUUUUAUUUUAAUUUAAUGAAAAAAAUUGAGUAAAUUGAUAAAGGAUUAAAUUGAAAAUAAUUUUAGAAAAAAAGGAGUGAAAAUUUGGAUUAUGGGGGUAUUUUUGAAAGAAAAAUCGAAAAUUAGAGGUCAAAACGUAAUUUAAAAAAAUUACGCCACGUCAGACGCCCAGUCAGCAGCCCCGACCAACCAGGACGCGCCAAGUGGCAAAGGCGCUGACGCGGGAGGCCACGCAGGGGGAGCCACAUAGGCAAUCCGUGCGCGCGUAAUCGAACGGCUGAAGUCUGUUUUCGCGUGCACGGACGGCCCAGAUUGGAUCGCGAUGAACGGCCCAGAUUCACUCCCUAUUUAAUCGCGAUCGGACGUGUAACACCCACCUAAAGCUUUUAUUUUUAUUUUUUUAUUAUUAAUAAAUAUAAUUUUUUUGAUUAUUUAAUUUAUUUUAUUAUCUUAUAUUUUGUUUAUUUUAAUUUAAUGAAAAAAAAAAUUGAGUAAAUUGAUAAAAGAUUAAAUUGAAAACAAUUUUGGGAAAAAUGGGUGAAAAUUUGAGUUAUGGGGAUAUUUUUGAAAGAAAAAUUGAAAACUAGGGGUCAAAACGUAAUUUAAAAAAAUUACGCCACAUCAGACGUCCGGCCAGCAGCCUCGACCAACCAGGACGCGUCAAGUGGCAAAGGCGCUGACGCAGGAGGCCACGCGUGUAACGGCCCCAAAAAUUAAAAGAAAAUGUAUAUAUUUAUUCUAAGUGCGGAAGCGAAAUAAAAUAGAUUAUGAUUAACAUCCCUUACACAAUAAUCAAAACAUAUUAAAGAUAUGAAAGAAUAAACUAACUGAAGAAAAUACAAUGAAUAAAUACUAUAAGGGAAACUAAUAAAUCUUUAAGCUUCUAUUCACUGUCUUCCUGCGGAAUGGGCUCGGGAACCAAGUCCUCUUGAUCUGAAAUGGUUAAGUAAGGAAUGAGCUACAUUAGUCCAGUAAAGAUGUCACACUAUCUCACUGUCACACUAAUAAAAGUUGAUAGAAAACAAAAACGACCAAUGGAGCAUAAUUCAUAACAAAUUCAUUUAUAAAUAAUAAAACCCUUUACGGUCCACUUACCUCGGUGAGAUUCAUGAAAAAAAUUUAUGAAAACAAUAACAUUAUAAACAUUAUAAGAUCAUGCACACUCUGUAACAUAACACAUAUCAUUCUUUUGUAUUCAAUCAUCAGGCAACAAAUUUCCUCUUUUAUCAGCCUACUAGUAUCUAUGGGGAUCCAUAGGGGUCCCCGUUACACGUGAACUAUUCUUCUUAAUUCCAGGGCCGUCCCCAUACCCCGUCCGGUAUGAGUGCCAAAACUAUAAACCUCAAUACCCCGUCCGGUAUGAGGGUGAAGCGAGCCGUCCCCAUACCUCGUCCGGUAUGAGCACCAAAAUAUUUAAAGUCUCCAUACCCCAUCCGAUAUGAGAGACCACGUUUCCGGUAGGGUUGCCUAUGGACCCAAUCCGUCCACUAUUUCCCAGGAUAUCUAGUGAGGAUGUCGACUUAUCCACUUAUAAAUUCACAUACCAUCCUUAUUUUUCUUAGUCUCAAUUACCCAAUCAACAUAAAUACGUAAACCAGCAACGCAUACCAAAUAAGGCAACACAACAUCGGGUUCACAAUAAUUCAAACCAUAAUAGAUUAAACAGUGAUUCAUGCAUACAUAACAACAGAAUAAACAAUCAAAUACUAUACUGCAUUUAGACUGUAAAAUACAUCAAAUAGGAAUAGACCAACAAAUACAUCAAGUUCGGGCUCCAUUAGCAAUCUUAAUUAAUUAUACAUAUCUAUUAAUUCAAAUACCGAUUAAUCAUUUAUUAGGCUUUAAUGUCAUGAUAGGAAAUAGGAUGAGGGAUCCUUACUUGUUUCGAAGUCUGAAAUCGGGUUCUCACUACGCCUACGGCAGUCCCUAGAUUCUUUGAAUUUUUUUCCAAAAAUUGAAACACACUUUCGGUACCUGUACAUGUCCCCAAAAAACUCCAAAUCAGACCCAAGGCCUUUUCAACCAAUUUUGGAAUUCCGGCACGACGGCGAUUUGCCUCGGCUUGGCCGUUUCCGGCCCUUUUUGGCCGAAUUCGGCCAAACUUGCAUUGGUUCCUGUGAUAAAACACCCCUAGGGCCCUCGGUGGGCCAAAAAAUUCUAAAAAAUCAAGACUUACCAGCGGCGAAGCUCUCGGGCGCGGUGGCUCCUUGGGCGCGAGUUGCAAUUUGGUAUUUUGCUCUGGUCAACCUGUAGAGAAAAGGACGGUGGUCACAGUGGUGUAAAAAUUACAUCGAACGGGAACUGGAAAGGGCCUCAUCAGAGGCAAAAACUGAAGAAAUCUACGACGGCAUCGCUGGACUUCGGCAGUGUUUUUCGACCAAUUGGCCUGUGGUUUGGCUCCGAUUUGGAAUUAGGGAGGUUCAACAUCGAAAAAUGAGCCAAGGAGAGAAAUUUUACCUCGUUUGGCGGCCGAAAGGUGCUCCGAUGCGGCGGCGGGCGGCGGCNNNNNNNNNNNNNNNNNNNNNNNNNNNNNNNNNNNNNNNNNNNNNNNNNNNNNNNNNNNNNNNNNNNNNNNNNNNNNNNNNNNNNNNNNNNNNNNNNNNNNNNNNNNNNNNNNNNNNNNNNNNNNNNNNNNNNNNNNNNNNNNNNNNNNNNNNNNNNNNNNNNNNNNNNNNNNNNNNNNNNNNNNNNNNNNNNNNNNNNNNNNNNNNNNNNNNNNNNNNNNNNNNNNNNNNNNNNNNNNNNNNNNNNNNNNNUAUUAUUAUUAUUAUUAUUAUUUCUAUUAAAUUAAAUUAAAGCCUUAUAAAUUAAUUAUUAAAAUAAAAUAAAAUCAAACAAAAUUCUAAUAAUAAAAAAAUAAAAAAUUUUGGGUGUUACAACUGAGGGGAGCCACGUGGGCGAUCCGCGUGCAUGUGAUCAAAUGGCUGAGAUCCGUUCCUGCGCACACGAACGGUCUAGAGUGAAUCGCGCACGGACGGCCCAGAUUGGAUCGUGAUGAACGGUCCAGAUUCACUCCUUAUUUAAUCGCGAUCGGACGGUUCAGAUCAAAAAUGAUGGAUGGCCCAGAUCAAAAGCGAAUGGGUAUAAAUAACCUCAUCAGCACCCAAACUCUAACCCUAGCCACCAAAACCCCUCACCGGAGAAGACAGCCCAGCCGCCGAGGAGUCGACUGCCGUCACCCGCUGCCGCACUGGAACCCUUUCUGAUCGCCAAAAAAUGUAAAAAUUUAUGGUUUUGCACAAAAUUCAAUUUUAAACCCACCCAUGGCCAAAUCGGAGUAAAAGAACCGGUCAAUUGGCCGAAAAAUACUGCUAAAGCCUAGCGGUGCUGUCACAGGGAAUUUCACAAAAUGCCUCCGAUGAGGCCCUUCUCGGUUCCUGUUUUGUGUAAUUUUUUCAGCGUUUUGAUUACCAUUUUCUUCUCUACAGGUUGACUGAAGCGAAAACCUCAACCGCAACGUGAGCCAAAAGAGCCGUUGCACCGGAGAGCCCUACCACCGGUGAGUUUUGGUUUUUCGUGUCUUUCGGUCCACCAAGGCCCUUUAGCGUAUGUGCUCGCAGGAAUCGAUAUAAAAUCGACCGAAAACGGGCCACCCGAGGUGGACCGCAGUCGCAAGCGGCAGUGCUGUCGCCGGAGCACAGCAGAGCUGCUGUGCUAGAUUUCUGAAAUUGGUCGAAUAGGCCCUGGGACAAAUUUUUUGGUUUGUUUGGAACAUUUGUAGGUACCAUAAGUGCGUUUCAGUUCCCAGAGAAAAAUUCAGGGAACUCUGGGAUCGCUCGUAGGUGUAGUAAACCAUUUACCUUUUCGGUGUCAAAUCAAGUAAGGACCCUUCAUCCUAUUUCCUAUCAUAGAAUUGAAGUUUGAAUAAAUAAUAAUACAGUAUUUUGUACAAAUUAAAUAGAUGUGCAUAAUUAAUUACGGAUCGCUAAUGGAAUCUGAACCGGACAUUGUUUUCUGUGAUUUAUUUUACAGUCUAAAAGCAUGAUAGUAUAUAAUGUAUCUAUUUUAUGGUUUAAAUGCAUGUAUUACUACCUUACUUGACCACUGUUUGAUUUUGGAAUUUGAGACAUGAUUUUAUUACUGAAUACAUGUUUAUUUGUUUAUGUGAUUAUAUUUGAUUUGAUAAUGGAGACUAAGGAAAAACAGGAAGAUGUGUGAUUAAAUAAACAGAUAGUAAGGACAGUCUUACUAGAUAUCCUGGGAGAUGGUGGACAGACUGGGUACAUAGGGAACCCUACUGUGAACAUUGUCUCAUACCAGACGGGGUAUGGAGAUUUGGUAAUUUGGUGCUCAUACUAGACGGGGUAUGAGGACGGCCCGCUUCACCCUUGUUAAGGGAAAGGGUUCACGUGCAGCGGGGACACCCUCAUGAACCCCCAUGGAUAAUAGUAGGCUGGUGAAACGAGAAACGGUUAUGAUUUAGUUUAUUGUUAAGAAAUAUGAAUUUAUGAUAUGUUCUAUAUUGCUAAUUGUGCAUGAAGUUAUGAUCUGUAUGAUAUUAUUGUCUCUAUAGGUUCUUUUCAUAAAUUUCGCAAUGGUAAGUGAACGGUAAAUGAUUUUAUGAUUGAUAAACGAAUUUACUAAAUUUAGUGCUCCAUUUUUUUUUUUUUUUACCAACCUUUGCUUUUAUAUUGGUGAUAUAGUGUGAUAUCCUUACUGGACUAGUGUAGCUCAUCCUUAGUUAACCAUUUCAAAUCAGGAGGAACUGGUUCCAGAGCCCGAUCCGCAAGAAGAUUGUGAGUAGAUGCUAGAUACUUUAUAUUUUCCAUUACUUUCUUAUUUCUCGUGUUUCUUUCAGAGAAUUCAUUCCGUAAUGUUUGUUUAGUACUUUUAAGUUCUUGUGUAAGGGAUGUAAACCUUAACCUUUUAUUUCGCUUCCACACUUAAAUUAUUAUAUCUUUCCUUUUGAAUUUCUGGGGUCGUUACAGAGCAUUUCUUUAUUUCACUAUUGAAAUAUAGAUUUCUUAAAAAUUAUUUGAUUUAUUUAGUAGAAAUAUCAUUUAGAUAAAAAUUUAUGAUAUAUGUAAAUGUGUUCUUAUAUUGUUGUAUUCUCUUUUUUAAUUUCAAAUUUUUCGAUAAUGUUUGUUAUAUCACUGUGUGACAUUCUUGAUGCCAACAAGCUGGUUGGACCAAAUUAUGAUGACUGAUAUUGAAACUUAAAAACUAUUCUCAUACAUAAAAAACUUAUUGAUAUGAUUGAUAAGCCUGUUAGAGAGACCCCACCUAAGGAUGAUGUUGAGGCAGUCAAAGGUUUUUAAAAAUACUUGACAGAUUGUCUUAUUACCAAAUGCAUUAUUCUUGCUUCUAUGAGUUUUGAAUUCCAUAGGAAACAUAAGAAUAUGGAUCCCUGUGCAAUCAUCGAUCAUCUUAAGAAGAUCUAUGGUGCACAAAAGAGGACAGUUAGAUAUUAGCUAUUUAAGUCCCUGUUUGGAUCCAAGUUGAUUGCUAACUCUCCAGUUGGGUCACAUGUUUCGAACAUGAUUGGUCUUAUUGAAGAACUUCAAAAAUUAUAGUGUACAUUGGGUAAAGAGAUUUCUCAAUAUUUAAUUUUGUAGUCACUAUUUGAAUCAUUUUCACAAUUCAUUAUUAAUCUCAACAUGAAUAAAAUAUAUUGUGAUUUUCAUGAAAUGCUUAAUAUGCUGAUUGAUUAUGACAAUCAAAUUGCAUUUGAGAAGAAGAAAGGAAUUGUCUUGUUGGUUGACAACUCUUCUAAUAAGAAGGGUAAAAGAAGAAACCCAAGAAGAAGCCCACUGCACCUAAGGGUGGUGUGGCCAAACCUAAAGGUAAAGGAAAAACUGUUCAAUCUGAUAUUGAAUGUUUCUUCUACAAGAAGAAAGGACAUUGCAAGAGAAACUGCAAGAAGUAUCUUACAUCUCUAAAAGAUAAGAAACAAAGUGAAACCUCAAUGAAAAUUAUUUUCAUGAUUUUUUUAACUUAUAUUAAUCCAUUUAUAUGGGUAUUAGAUACCGGUAGUCAUUUUAACAUUUGCAAUACGUUGCAGGACUACAAAUUAAUAUAAGAUUGAAGAAAGAAUAAGUUAAUUUCAAGUCAAGAUAGUGCAAAAGUUGUGGCUCUAACUGUAUGAUCAUUCUCUAGAUGCUACGAGCAAAUACUUUGUGAGAUGUAUACGUCUCUAANNNNNNNNNNNNNNNNNNNNNNNNNNNNNNNNNNNNNNNNNNNNNNNNNNNNNNNNNNNNNNNNNNNNNNNNNNNNNNNNNNNNNNNNNNNNNNNNNNNNNNNNNNNNNNNNNNNNNNNNNNNNNNNNNNNNNNNNNNNNNNNNNNNNNNNNNNNNNNNNNNNNNNNNNNNNNNNNNNNNNNNNNNNNNNNNNNNNNNNNNNNNNNNNNNNNNNNNNNNNNNNNNNNNNNNNNNNNNNNNNNNNNNNNNNNNNNNNNNNNNNNNNNNNNNNNNNNNNNNNNNNNNNNNNNNNNNNNNNNNNNNNNNNNNNNNNNNNNNNNNNNNNNNNNNNNNNNNNNNNNNNNNNNNNNNNNNNNNNNNNNNNNNNNNNNNNNNNNNNNNNNNNNNNNNNNNNNNNNNNNNNNNNNNNNNNNNNNNNNNNNNNNNNNNNNNNNNNNNNNNNNNNNNNNNNNNNNNNNNNNNNNNNNNNNNNNNNNNNNNNNNNNNNNNNNNNNNNNNNNNNNNNNNNNNNNNNNNNNNNNNNNNNNNNNNNNNNNNNNNNNNNNNNNNNNNNNNNNNNNNNNNNNNNNNNNNNNNNNNNNNNNNNNNNNNNNNNNNNNNNNNNNNNNNNNNNNNNNNNNNNNNNNNNNNNNNNNNNNNNNNNNNNNNNNNNNNNNNNNNNNNNNNNNNNNNNNNNNNNNNNNNNNNNNNNNNNNNNNNNNNNNNNNNNNNNNNNNNNNNNNNNNNNNNNNNNNNNNNNNNNNNAGUCAGCAGCCCCACGAACUUGAGUGUGUCGCGUGCAAGGCACGCUGACUCGGUGUCGUGCGGAAAACCACUCUGGCAAAUUCACGUGCCCGCGAUCGGACGAUCUAGAUUUAUUCCCGCGCGAGUGGAUGGUUUCGGAUCUGUUCCCUCAUCAGAUGCGAUUGGACGAUCGCAAUUAAACGUGAUGAACAGUCUAGAUUCGUUCUCUUUUUAAACGCAAUCGUAUAGUUCAGAUUUAUUUUUUUUUAAACACAAUCGGAUGGUCGAGAUCAAAUGCGAUGGACGGUCCAAAUUAAAGAGAGAUGGAUGUAAAUAUCUCACUUCACACCGAACCUAACCCUAACCGCCAGCCCCUCGUCGGAGAAGAAGAACUAGUCGCCGGAGAAGGGAGUCGAUUGCCGCCUGCCGCCAUGCUAAAGUCACCUCCGACCGCCAAAAAACGUAAAAAAAAUUUAAUUCGCUCGAAAUUUGAUUUUGAACACCCCCAUGGCCAAAUCGGAGCAAAAGGACCGGUGGAUGAGCUGGAAAUCGCGGGUAAAGCCUGGCGCCGCGGGAAAAAUCAAAAACUGCCUUCGAUGAGGCCCUUUCUGAUUCUCGUUUUGUGCAAUUUUUCCACCAUUGUAUUCACUAUUCUGUUUUUAACAUGUUGACCGAAGAAAAAUGUCCAACCGCGAAGGUGAGCCAGUGGAGCCGCCAUACCGAAAAAUCCUGCCGUCGAUAAGUUUCUAUUUUUUUUGACUUUUUUCGACCAACCGAGACCCUUUAACGUGUUUUCUAGCAUGGAUAAGUAUAAAACCAGCUGAAAUCGGCCAAAACUGGCCGAAAACCGUCAGUCUGAGGCAAACCACCGUCGCGGGCAGCGAUGUCAUCACCGAAACACGGAGGGAAAAAGGGUUUUAACAUCAAUUUUGAGUUUUUUUUUGGCGUAUUUUUAGGUACUUGAAGCGUGUUUUAAUCUCCGAAGAAAAAGCCAGGGAACCCGGGGACCACCAGUAGGCACAGCUGAAAGUUUAGUGUUCGGAUACCAAUUUAGGUAAGAAUCCCUCACCUUAUUCUCUAUUAUGGAAUUGAAGUUUAAUUAUAAAUAAUAAGGUAUUUUGCUUAAUUUUAAAAACUUCAAUAAUUAAUUACAGGUUACUAAUGGAGACAGAAUCGAUUAUUUAUUAUUAUUUGUCCUAUUUUAACUGACUGAUUGAUUUUACAGUUUCAAAUGUAUAAUAAUACACUAGAGUUGGUAAGAUGAUUCAGUUGUAUUUCCUUGAUGCAUGUAUCGCUUAUUUUGCGUGAUUUACAGUUAAAUUGUGAAACUGAAAAUUAAAUGUAAACGAAAAAUUAUUUGAUUAAAUGAAUGAUAGCCUUACUGGAUAUCCUGAGAGAUGGUGGACGGACCGGGUGCAUAUGGAACCAUACCAUAAACGUUGUCUUAUACUGGACGUGGUAUCGAGGAUUAGUAUUUUUAGCGCUCAUACCGAAUAGGGUAUGAGGACGGCCCGUUUCACCCUCAUACCGGACGAGAUAUUGAGAUAUGGUAUUUUUAGCUCUCAUAUCGGAUGGGGUAUGAGGACGGCCGUUUAGUUAACAAUGUUGAAUAAGAGUUCACGCGUAAUGGGGACAUCCCUAUGGACCCCCAUGGAUACCAAUAGGCAGAUAAAAAGAAAAAGUUAUUGUUUUAGUUAAUUGAAUAUGAGAUUAUGAUAUUGUUUGUGUUAUUACCUCUAUAGGUCAGUGUUAGAAAUUUUGCUACAGAAAUGUACAAUAAAUUAUUUUAUUUAUGAUAAAUGAAUUUAUUUAAAUUAAGAGCUUUAUUAAUUGUUUUCAUGAUUUAUAUUAACCUUCAUUUCUGUAUCGGUGAGUAGUGUGAUAUUCUUACUGGGUUAGUGUAGCUUACUCUUUCAUUAACCAUUUCAGACCAAGAAGACCAAGCUUCAGAUCCCGAUCCACAAGAGGGUUACGAAUAAGAUGUCCAGUUGUUUACUUUCCAUUUAUUUCUUUGAUUUUUCGUUGUUCUUUUAGAAUGGUCAUUCCUGUAGCCCUAUUGGGUAUUCUAAAUUAUUGUGUAAGAAAUGUAAACCCUAAAGCUAUUAUUUCGCUUCUGCAUUUAAUUUAUAAUUUAUUUCCUUUCAAGUUCCAGGUCGUUAUAGAGAAAUAGCUUCCAAAUUAUUGAGAUUAAUUCAUACUGAUGUUUAUGGCCCCAUGAAAAUUCAAGCCAGAGGUGAAUAUUCUUACUUUAUCAUCUUCACUGAUGACAUGUCAAGAUAUGAAUUUAUGUAUCUUAUGAAACACAAACCUAAGUCUUUUGAAAUAUUCAAAAGAUUCCAUAGUGAAAUUGAGAAACAAACUGGCAAAAACAUUAAAGUGCUAAGAUCUAAUAUAGUAGGAGAAUAUCUUAAUGAUGAUUUUACUAUAUAUCUCAAAGAGAAUGGGAUUCUCUCACAGUGGACCCCUCCUAAAACACCACAACAUAAUGGUAUAUCCGAAAGAAGAAAUCGAACUUUAUUACAUAUGGUGAGAUCAAUAAUGGGGUUUACAGAUCUUUCAAUUAAUUUAUAGGGAUAUACUUUGAAAACCGCAACAUAUUUGGUAAAUAAAGUACCCAUUAAGUAAGUCUCUAUAACACCAUAUGAGAUAUUAAAAAAAAAUAUAAAUCGAGCCUUAAGCAUGUUGUUUGGGGUUGUCCAGCUUAUAUUAAGAGAUUUGCAAACCGAUAACCUUAACUCAAGAUCUGAUAAGUGUAUACUCAUUGGGUAUCCCAAAGAAAUAAUGUGAUAUUAUUUCUAUCACCCAUCUAACCAUAAAGUGUUUGUGGCUAGAGGAGUAACCUUUUUGGAAAGGAAAUUUCUUUUGGAAGAAAAUCAUGGUGAAAGAAUUGAACUUGAUGAAGUUUAAAAAACUAAUGAAUCAAUACAAGAAUAGGAUGAUGAGAUACAGGUUAAGCAACCUUUACUAGAUGUUUUAAAGAUGAUAAACAAGUUGUCAUCUCCAAUGAUUGAGGUUCAAGAAACAAAUAUUGUUCAAGAACCAGUUAGUGAACAUGUUCAAAAUCAGAUUGAACAACAACCUUAUCUAGUACAAGGUGAGCAAAUUGUACAUGAACCUCUUAGAAUGUCUGCUAGACAACAUCGUACACCAGAUAGGUUGAAUCUUAUGGUGCAAGAUAAUGUAUCAAAUGAAGUUAAUCAUGAUGAUGAUGACCUCAAAACCUAUGAAAAGACUAUGCAAAGCUCCGAUUAUGAGAAAUGGAUAAAGGUCACGGAAUUUGAAACGGAAUCCAUGAAGGUCAACAAAGUUUGGACUUUAGUUGAAAGUACAAAGGAUAUAAAAUCUAUUGGUAGUAAAUGGGUUUUAAAGAAAAAGAUUGAAGCAUGCGGAAAAUGAAAGACCUAUAAAGCUCGUCUUGUUGCUAACAAAUAUCGUCAAAAAGAAGGAAUUGAUUGUGACAAACCAUUUUCCCCCACAUCAAUACUCAAAUAAAUUUGAAUUCUACUUGCUGUAGCUGCGUACUAUGAUUAUGAGAUAUAGCAGAUGGAUGUGAAAAUAAUUUUCCUAAAUGGUGAAUUGGAAGAAGAUAUGUAUAUGACACAACCUAAAAGUUUCAUAUCCCUAUCUGAUCAUCAUAAAGUAUGCAAGUUACAAAGAUCCAUUUACGGAUAAAAGUAAGCAUCUUAAAGUUGGAAUAUUCGUUUUAACAAAAUAAUUGAAAAGUUCAAUUUUGUUAUAUGCAAAGAGAAACUUUGUGUGUAUAAAAAUGUUAAUGGGAGUAUAACUAUUUUCUUAGUGUUAUAUGUUGAUGAUAUAUUGCUAAUUGGAAUGACAUACUAGCAUUACAAAAUAUUAAGAUUUGACUAUCUGAAAGUUCUAUAUGAAAGACUUGAGAAAAACAACUUAUAUGUUGGGAAUAAAAAUCUAUAGAGAUAUAUCUAAGAAGUUGUUUGGACUUUUCCAGUUUAUGUACAUUGACACCAUUCUGAAGAGAUUUAAUAUGAAAAAUUCUAAAUAGAGCUAUCCACCGAUAGGCACUGGAAUUACUCUUAGUAGAGAGAAUUGUCUUAAAACCUCUGAAAAAAAAGAACGCAUGGGUAGAGACCCAUAUGCUAACGUAGUGGGAGCUAUCAUGUAUACCAUGACAUAUACACGUCCUGAUGUGACUUAUGCACUAGGAGUGACUAGCCGAUAUCAGGUGAAUCUUAGUAAAGAACAUUGGAAUGUGGUAAAGACCAUUCUUAAGUGUAACGACCCUGAAAAUCCAAAAGGAAAUAUAUAAUAAUUUAAGUGCGGAAGCGAAAUAAAAGUUUAAGGUUUACAUCCCUUACACAAUAACUUAAAAGUACUAAACAAACAUCACGGAAUAAAAUCUCUGAAAGAAACACGAAAAAUGAGAAAAGUAAAGGAAAAUAUAAAGUAUUUAGCAUCUACUCGCAAUCUUCUUACGGAUCAAGCUCGGGAACCAGAUCCUCUUGAUCUGAAAUGGUUAAAUAAGGGGUGAAGUACACUAGCCCAGUAAGAACAUCACACUAUAUCACUGGCACAGAAGCAAAGGUUGGUAGAAAAUUAAAACAACUAAUGGAGUACUAAAUUUAAACCAAUAUAUUUAUUAAAAAUAAAACCAUUUACCCUUCACUUAUUAUUAGAAAAUUUAUGAAAAUAACUUAUAAAGACAAUAAUAUCAUACAGAUCAUAACUUCAUGCACAAUCAAUAACAUAGAACAUAUCAUAAAUUCAUAUUCAUUAACAAUAACUAAAUCAUAACUGUUUCUCGUUUUACCAGCCCAUUAGUAUCCAUGGGGAUCCAUAGGGGUGUCCCUGCUACACGUGAAUCAUUUUCUUUAACAAUCUUAAUUACAAAGCCGUCCCUAUACCCCGUUCGGUAUGAGCACCAAGACAUUAAACCUCAAUGCCUCGUCUGGUAUGAGGAUGAAGCGGGUCGUCCCAUACCCCGUCCGGUAUGAGAAAAUGUUCACGAUAGGGUUUUCUAUAAACCCGGUUUGUUCACCAUCUCCCAGGAUAUCUAGUGAGGCUGUCAUCUUAUCUGUUUAUUAGAUCACACCCCUUUCCUAUUUUUUCUUAGUCUCCAUUACAAAAUCAAACAUAAUUACAUAAACAAAUAAACAUGCAUCCGGUAAUGCAAUCAUAUCUUAAAUAUCAAAAUCAAGCAAUGGUCAAGUAAGGCAGUAAUACAUGCAUUUAAACCAUAAAAUAUAUAAAACAGAUACUAUCAUACUUUUAGACUGUAAAAUAAAUCAACAAGAAUCAAUAGAGAACAAUGUCUGAUUCGGGCUCUAUUAGCAAUCCGUAAUUAAUUAUGCACAUCUUAUUUAAUUUGUACAAAAUACCAUAUUAUUAUUUAUUUAAACUUCAAUUCUAUAAUAGGAAAUAGGGUGAGGGGUCCUUAAUUUGACGCCGAAAAGCUAAAUGGUUUUGCGCCUACGGGUGGUCCCUGAGUUCCCUGAAUUUUUCUUCAAGAAUUGAAACGUGCUUACGGUACCUACAAAUGUCCCAAAUAAAUCCAAAAAUCAGUCCCAAGGCCUACUCGACCAAUUUUCAAAAUCUGGCAUGGCGGUGAUGUGCAUCGGGUUGGCUGUUUUCAGCCGUUUUCGACCGAAUUCAGCAAAAUUUACAUCAAUUCUGGCGAGAAAACACACUUAAGGACCUCGGUUGGCCGAAAAAACGUAGAAAAUCGAAACUCACCGACGACGGGGCUCUCCGAUGCUGUGGCUCCUUUGGCUCACAUUGCGGUUGGAUGUUUUGCUCCAGUCAACCUGUAGAGAAGGAAACAGUGAUCACAACAGUGAAAAAAUCACAUCAAACAGGAAUCGGGAAGGGCCUCAUCGGAGGUAUUUUCUGAAAUACCCCGCGGCGGCGCCCCCUGGCUUUGCCAGCGUUUUUCGCCCAAUCGGCCAGUCCUUUUGCUCCAAUUUGGUCAUAGAUGUGUUUAAAAUUAAAUUCUAAGCAAAAGGUGAAAUUUUACCUCGUUUGGCAAUCGAAAAUUGCUCCGGUGCAGCGGCGGGUGACGGUGAUCGGUUCCCCGAUGGCUGGGCUGUCUUCUCCGGUGAGGGGUUCUGGCGUCUGGGGUUAGGGUUUGGGUGAGGAUGGUGUUAUUUAUACUCAUCCAUUUUUUAUCUGGGCCAUCUAUCGCUUUUGAUCUAAACCGUUCGAUUGCGAUUAAAUAGGGAGUGAAUCUGGGCUGUCCAUGCGUGAUUCAAUCUGGAACGUCCAUGUGUGAUUCAAUCUAGGCCGUCCAUGUGUAAUUCAAUCUGAGUCGUCCGUGCGCGCUUCCAAUCUGGGUUGUCCGUGCCCGCGGGAACGAAUCUCAGCCAUUCGAUCACACGCACGCAGAUCACCCACGUGGCUCCCCUCCCGUGUUAGCACCUCUGUCACCUGGCGUGUCCUGAUUGGUCAGGGCUGCUGACCGGGCAUCUGACGUGGUGCAAUUUUUCUAAAUUACAUUUUGACAUCUGAUUUUCGAUUUUUCUUUCAAAAAUACCCUAAGAACCCAAAUUUUCACUCAUUUUUCCCAAAAUUGUUUUCAAUUUAAUCCUUAACAAAUUUUUACCCUUUUUUUCAUUAAAUUAAAAUCAAAUAAAUUAAAUAAAUAAAUAACUACAUAAAAAAAUAAAAAUAAAAAUAAAAGAUAGUAUUGGGUAUUACAAUUCUCCUCCCCCUUAAAAGAAAUUUGGUUCCUCAAAUUUGUCUCUCACUCUCAAUCGAACAACUAGGAAUACUGGGCUCUAAAGUCUUAUUCUAGCUCCCAUGUAGCCUCCCUCGGUGUGUGGUUCUGCCAUACGACCUUUACAAAGGAAAUUUCUUGGUUGCGGAGUAAUAUGCUCUUUCGAUCCAUAAUCCCGACUAGCACUUCCUCGUAGGAUAAAUCCUCCUUGAGUGGAAGAGGUUCGUGGGCCAAGACAUGAUAGGGGUCCGGGUUGUACUUGCAUAGCAUGGAUACAUAAAACACAUUGUGGACCUUAGAAAGUUCUAGAGGCAGUGCUAGUCUAUAGGCAGCGAUACUAAUCCUGUUUAAGACUUCAAAUGGUCCAAUAAAUCGGGGGUUCAGUUUCUCCCCUACCGAACCUACUGAUUUCCUUGAAAGGCGUGACCUUAAGAAACACCUGGUCGCCUUCCUCAAAUUCUAAAUCUCUCCUCCGGGUGUCCGCAUAACUCUUAUAUCUGCUUUGAGCUGUCUGAAUGUUCUUCCUGAUCUUAACUAUUUUGGAUGUUGUCUCCUCUACCAGCUCUGGGUCGAACAGUUUUCUAUCGCCCACUUCUUCCCAACAAAUCGGCAAUCUGCAUGGGUGCCCAUAUAACGCCUCAUACGGAGCCAUGCCAAUACUCGCUUGGUAACUGUUGUUGUAGGUGAACUCUAUUAGGGGUAGAUGGUCAUCCCAAUGGCCCCCGGAGUCAAUGACACAAGCUCGGAGCAUAUUCUCAAGUGUACAAAUUGUCUUUUCUAACUGUCCAUCAAUCUGAGGGUGGAAUGCAGUACUGAGGGACAGCUUCGUUCCCAUGGCUUGCUGAAACCUACUCCAAAAUCGAAAAGUGAACUUGGGGUCCCUGUCAGACACCACUGUCACUGGGACUCCAUGCAAUCUGACUAUUUUUCAAAUAUACAUUCUUGCUAACUUGUCUAAGGGAUCAGUCAUCCUGAUGGCCAAGAAGUGAGAAGACUUGGUAAGCCGGUCGACAAUUACACAAACGGCAUCAUGUCCUGAGCGUGCCUUAGGUAAUCCUGUCAUGAAGUCCAUGGUGAUAUGUUUUCACUUCCAUUCUGGGAUCGGUAAUGGCUGAAGUAGCAUGCCUGGGCGUUGAUGCUCUACCUUGACCUGCUGACGUACCAAAAACUUAGAAACAAAGUCAGCUAUAUCUCUUUUUAUUCCAUUCCACCAAAAUCGGAGUCGCAUACUUUCGUACAUUUUAGUACUUCCAGGAUGCAUGGCAAACUUUGACCUUUGUCAUGAUGUCUCUCUUUAACUCACUGUCACUUGGAACACAUACUCUGUCCUGGAAUCGGAGCAACCCAUCGGCAGAGACUUGAAAUUCUGAGCUAACUCCCUGUUCUGCAUCUUUCUUAAGGGCUAUUAGGGCGGGAUCGGCUGACUGAGUUUCCCUUAUUUCCUGGAUUAACUCAGGCUGAACAGUCAGAUGACCCAAACAUGAGACUCUCCUCAAGUCCUAAAGCUGAACCUGUUGUUUGGCCCCAAUCUGCCUGCAUUCUGAAACCAUCAAAUGGGCUAAUAUACCUACACUUUUUCUGUUGAGUGCAUCUGCUACCACGUUGCCCUUACCCGGAUGAUAUAGGAUGUCACAAUCAUAAUCCUUAAGAAAUUCUAUCCACCUUCUCUGACACAUGUUGAGAUCUUUUUGAAUGAAUAUGUAUUUCAAACUCUUGUAAUCGGUAUAGAUCUGAAAGGUCUCUCCAUAUAAAUAAUGGCGUCAAGUCUUCAAGGCGUGUAUGAUUGCGACAAGCUCUAAGUCAUGGGUGGGAUAGUUUUUCUCAUGACUCUUUAACUUUCUGGACCCAUAGGUUAUGACCUUCCCAUACUGCAUUAAAACACAACCCACAUCUAGAUAAGAGGCACCACUGUAAAUUGUAUAUCCCCCCGAUCCACUCGGUAAGGCCAGCACAGGUGCAGUAGUCAGCCACUUCUUUAGUUCUGAAAAAAAUUCUUUCACAGUUCGCAUUCCACUCAAACUUGACAUUCUUUUUUGUGAGCCGGGUCAGGGGAACAGGUAGACUAGAAAAUCCUUCAACAAACCUACAGUGAUAGCCUACCAUUCCCAGAAAGUUAUGGAUCUCUUUAACUAAUGUCAAUGUCUCCCAGCCGAGCACCGCUUCAACCUUUUCAAGGUUCACUGAUACUCCACGCUUACUCAACUUUGCAUACAUCUUUUUUCUUCUGAGAACCUGCAAAACCUGAGCUAGAUGGUGAGUAUGUUCCUCUUUGCUUUUGAAAUAAACCAGGAUGUCAUCGAUGAAUACGAUAAUAAAUUGAUUUAAGAAUUGUCUGAAGACCCUGUUCAUCAGAUCCAUGAAGAUGGCUGGGGCAUUUGUUAGCCCAAAUGGCAUGACCAGGAACUCAUAGUGUCCGUACCUGGUUCGAAAAGCUGUCUUAGGGAUAUCUUCUGUCCUGAUUUUCACCUGAUGGUAACCUAAACGCAGGUCUAUUUUGGAGAAGACCUGCGCACCCUACAUCGAAGAGGUCAUCAAUUCUGGGAAGGGGAUACUUGUUCUUGAUUGUGACUCUGUUCAAUCCUCUGUAAUCAAUACAAAGCCUCAACAUUCCAUCUCUCUUUCUGGAAAAAGUGACUCCGACACCCCAAUGGGACACAUUAUGUCUGAUAAAAUUACUGUCAUGUAAUUCAGUGAACUGUUUCUUCAGUUCCUCCAUUUCGACGCGGCUCAUGUGAUAAGGAGUAACCAAAAUAGGCUGAGUGCCUAGUUAUAGGUCUAUGGUGAAUUUGAUUUCCCCGUCCAUUGGCAGUCUGAGUAUUUCAUCUGGAAAUACAUAUGGGAAGUCUCGGACUACUGGAAUCUCUUGAAUACAAUUCUCUUUCUUAAGUUUGCCUAGUUAGAGAAAACAGUAGGGUUAAAGUACUCGACGAAUAAGAAAACUUGUCAUCAAGGAAUAAGUACUAAAUGAUUUUAUUAAUUUGUAAAUGACUCCUCAUUAGUAGGAUUGAAUACAACAUUCUUACUAAAACAAUCUACGGUGGCGUGAUACGUCGCUAGCCAAUUCCUUCCUAAAAUUACAUCAAAAUCCCCCAUGUCUAAUUCUAUUAGGUCCACACUCAAUUUUCUAUCUGCUAUCUCUACGACACAAGCCCUAUAGACAACUUCUCCCAAUAGUGUCAUACUCCCAGCAGUAGACACAAACAACAUAUAAUUAAGUUUAUCAGGUAAUACAUUAAAUUUGGAUACAAAAAUAGGUGAAACAAAUGAAUGCGAUGCACCAGUGUCAAUCAAAACAUGAGCAAGAUAGUUACAGAUAGUGUACAUAUCCUGUACCACGUCCAGGUUGGCUUCAGUAUCCCGUUGGGUGAGGUUAUAAGCUCUGCCCUAAAUAGAAGGUCUGCCCUGAUUCUGGUUCCUUGGGCACUCUCUCGCAUAAUGUUGGGCACUACCACAUAUGCGAUAGGUGUUGUUGAGGCGGUAGCAGGGUCGGUCCCCAUGAUCCCUGCCGCAAUACUGACAGAUCUUACCACAUCCUGCCACUAGAGCCUGAGGGAGAGCCUGGGUCACUGGUCUAGACCUCUUAUUCUGUUGGACAGACGCAGUAGGUGCUGGUCUGUGGGGUGGAGCUGAGGGUCUGAGGUUCUCUGCUGCCUAAGAGAGGGUGUGAAAGCUCCUCUCCACCAGCUAUGUCUUGGCCAGAACGGCCGAAUAAGUCAUGAGCUCCAGCACGAACAAAUGUUGCCUGAUCUCUGGGCGGAGGCCCCACUAGAAUCUCUUAGCCUUCCUGCCCUCAUCCAACAACAUCUCAGGGGAGUAUCAGCUUAACUCCAGGAACUUACGAGCAUAUUCUGACACAGUCAUGUUCUCCUAGACCAACUGGACGAACUCCAUCUCCUUCAAAUGUCGGAGGUGCUCUGUGAGGUACUCUGCAUGAAAGGCUACUAGGAACUAUUCCCAAGUAACUGGAAUAGGCAGGGUGGUUUGUCUGAGUUCCCACCAACGGUCUGCUUCUCCCACUAGCAUGUAGGUAGCAAGGGUGACCUUCUACUCAGAAGUCACCCCUAAAGUCUUGAAGGCCUUCUCUGUCUCUGCCAACCAGUACUCGGCAUCUUCAAAAAAGGAUCCCCCUACAAAAGUAGAUGGGUUUAGUCUCUUGUACCUUUCUAUGUAGCCUGAGUCAAUCGUGGGAGGAACCAGGUCCCGUGGAAGAGGGAUUGGCCAGGCUGAGGAUAGACUGGGGGGCCCUGUGGUGGUACUUGUUGAUACGGUUAGGGCACCAGAUUAUACUAUAGCAGUGCUGGGUGGUACUGUGGCUGGGGCACCGGAUCAUACUGCGAUGGUGUCGGGUGGUACUGUGGAGGAGCAAGGUCGUACCAGGGUGGCUCGGGAUCCUCUCGCUGCAGGGGUGGCUCAACCUGUGGCAGCGAGGGAGGGUCAGGUAGCUCUCUCUUCUCUUCUUGGCCCUGCUGGGCAGUAAUGAGUCUCUCCAACAUCUCAAAUAUCAUGUCAACAUCUUCCCUAAGUGAACCAUCCCCGGCUGCUCGGUUUAAUGGGAGUCUUCCUUUCCUCAUCUCUCUAUACCUGCAUUUCACAAGGAAUGGUUGAGUGACAAUUCAUUGGUUUGGUUUUUCUCUAAAUACCAUUAUGGAAGGGACGGGUCUGAGGAAUGUGGCUCUGAUACCAAUUGUAACGACCCCGGAAAUCCAAAACAAAUAUAUAAUAAUUUAAGUGUGGAAACGAAAUAAAAGGUUAAGGUUUACAUCCCUUACACAAUAACUUAAAAGUAUUAAACAAACAUCACAGAAUAAAAUCUCUGAAAGAAACACGAGAAAUGAUAAAAGUAAUGGAAAAUAUAAAGUAUUUAGCAUCUACUCGCAAUCUUCUUGCAGAUCGGGCUCGAGAACCAGGUCCUUUUGAUCUGAAAUGGUUAAAUAAGGGGUGAGCUAUACUAUCCCAGUAAGAACAUCAUACUAUAUCACCGGCGCAGAAGCAAAGGUUUGUAGAAAAUUAAAAAAACUAAUAGACACUAAAUUUAAACCAAUACAUUUAUUAAAAAUAAAAUCAUUUACCUUUCACUUACAAUUGUGAAAUUUACGAAAAUAAUUUAUAAAGACAAUAACAUCAUACAGAUCAUAACUUCAUGCACAAUCAGUAACAUAGAACAUAUCAUAAAUUCAUAUUCAUUAACAAUAACUAAAUCAUAACCGUUUCUCAUUUCACCAGCCCACUAGUAUCCAUGGGGAUCCAUAGGGGUGUCCCACCUACACGUGAACCCUUUUCUUUAAUAAUCUUAAUUACAAAGCCGUCCCCAUACCCCGUCCGGUAUGAGCGCCAAGACAUUAAAUCUCAAUACUCCGUCCGGUAUGAGGGUGAAGCGUGUUGUCCCCAUACCACGUCCGGUAUGAGACAACGUUCACAAUAGGGUUUCCUAUGAACCCAGUCCAUCCACCAUCUCCCAGGACAUCUAGUGAGGCUAUCAUCUUAUACGUUUAUUAGAUCACACCCUUUUCCUGUUUUCCCUUAGUCUCUGUUACUAAAUCAAACAUAAUUACAUAAACAAAUAAACAUGCAUCCGAUAAUGCAAUCAUAUCUUAAAUCUCAAAAUCAAGAAGUAGUCAAGUAAGGCAGUAAUACAUGCAUUUAAACCAUAAAAUAUAUAAACCAGAUACUAUCAUACUUUUAGACUGUAAAAUAAAUCAACAUGAAUCAAUAGAUAACAAUGUCCGACUCAGGCUCCAUUAACAAUCUGUAAUUAAUUAUGCACAUCUUAUUUAAUUUGUACAAAAUACUGUAUUAUUAUUUAUUCAAACUUUAAUUCUAUAAUAGGAAAUAGGGUGAGGGGUCCUUACUUGAUUUGACGUAGAAAAACUAAAUGGUUUACUGCGCCUACGGGCGGUACCUGGGUUCCUUGAAUUUUUUUUCGGGAAUUGAAACGCACUUACAGUACCUACAAAUGUCCCAAUUAAACCCAAAAAUCAGUCUCAGGGCCUACUUGGCCAAUUUUUAAAAUCCGGCACAGCGACUCCGCCGUGCUCCAGCGACAGCAACGCUGUUUGCGGCGAUGAUCUGCCUAGGUUGGUUGUUUUCGGCCCUUUUCGGCCGAAUUCAGCCAAAUUUGUAUCAGUUCCGAUGAGAAAACACACUUAGAGCCCUCGGUUGGCCGAAAAACAUAGAAAAUCGAAACUCACCGGCAGCGGGGCUCUCCGGUGUGGUGGCUCCUCCGGCUUACAUUGCGGUUGGGCGUUUUGCUCCAGUCAACCUGUAGAGAAGGAAACGGUGAUCACAACAGUGGAAAAAUCACAUCGAACGGGAAUCAGGAAGGGUCCCAUCAGAGGCAUUUUCUAAAAUAUCCUGCGGUGGUGCCGCGGGCUUUGCUAGCGUUUUCCAGCCAAUUGACCGGUCUUUUACUCCGAUUUGGUCAUGGGUGUGUUAAAAAUUAAAUUCUGAGCAAAUGGUGAAAUUUUUAUCUCGUUUGGCAGUCGAAAAUUGCUCUAGUGCGACGGCGGGUGGCGACGGUCGGUUCCUCGGCGGCUGAGCUGUCUUCUCCGGUGAGGAGUUCUUGCGACUAGGGNNNNNNNNNNNNNNNNNNNNNNNNNNNNNNNNNNNNNNNNNNNNNNNNNNNNNNNNNNUGUCCGCAUGCGAUUCAAUCUGGACCGUCCGUGCGCGAUUUAAUCUGGGUUGUCUGUGCACGCUUCCAAUCUAGGUCGUCCGUGCGCACGAGAACAUACCUCAGUCAUUCGAUCGCGCGCACGCAGAUCGCCCACGUGGCUCCCCCCUCCCCCCCGCGUCAGCGCCUCUGUCACCUAGCGCGUCCUGAUUAGUCGGGGCUACUGACCGGGCAUCUGACGUGGCGCAAUUUUUUUAAAUUACGUUUUGAUCCCCAAUUUCUAAUUUUUCUUUCAAAAAUACCCUUAGAACACAAAUUUUCACCCCUUUUUUUCAAAAUUGUUUUCAAUUUAGUCCUUAACAAAUUUUUACCCCUUUUUUCAUUAAAUUAAAAUAAAAUAAAUUAAAAUAAAUUAAAUAAAUAAAUAACUAUAUAAAAAAAUAAAAAUAAAAAUAAAAGAAAUUAUUGGGUGUUACAUUAAGUACUUGAGAAGAACUAAAGACCAAUUCCUCAUCUAUGGAAAAUAUGAGUUUAAAUUGGAAGGUUAUACCGAUGCAAGUUUUGCUUCAGAUAAAGAUGAUAACAAAUCUAUAUCUAUUUAUGUGUUCAUCUUAAAUGGUGGUGUAGUGAGUUGGAAAAGUUCCAAAUAAGUUACGGUAGCUAAUUUAGUGACCGAAACAGAAUAUAUAACGGCAAGUGAAGCUGCUAAGAAACUAUUUGGAUGAAGAAAGUUCUUAACUGAACUUGGUGUGGUUCCUUCAAUAGAAUGUCCAAUUUCAUUAUUGUGUGAUAAUAUAAAAGCUAUCACUCAAGCAAAAGAGCCGAGAUCAUAUCAAAAAUCCAAACAUAUUCUACGAAGGUACCACUUGAUUAGAGAAAUUAUUGAACGUGGGGAUGUUAAAAUUCAAAAAGUUGAUGGAAAGGAUAAUGCAGCUAACCAAUUCACUAAGGCUCUUAGUGUAAAGGAGUUUGACAAGCAUAAGUGGAAGUUGAGAAUGAAGAACAUGAUAAAUUGGAUCUAGUGCAAUUGAGAGAUUUUUAGGGAUAUAAUUAUUAUGCUCAAUAUCUAAUUAUUUGUGUAAUAUAUUUAAUACACUAUUAUUAUUUGACAAUUUAUUUUAAUAUGUGACAAUAAUAUUUUAAUUAUCAUAUUUAUUAUGUUAUUGUUUAAUUUAUAUGAUAAAGUCAUUGAAUAAAUUUAGAGACUUUAUAUUAAGAUGGAGAUCUUGAUAAUGAGAGUAAAAUUUUUUAUGAUUUAAUAUAAAAUAUUCUUAAUUGUUAGAUCAUCAAAAUAUGACAGUAAUGAUCCAGUAGGAUUAAUAUAUAUGUAAUAGUUUCUAUAAAAUAAAUAUUAGUUGAUCUCAUUAAUUAAAUUACAUAUAUAGAUGAUGCAUAUGGAGAUGUGAUCAUUAAACUAACCCAAUUGAGAAUUCCUAAUGGCUAAUAUUACUUUAAACUGUCAAUAAAAUAUUCUUUUAAAAUAAUGAGAUGUAAAAAUUUUUUUUAACUUGAGAUCAUCAUAGUCAUAGAACUAUAGUUGAAAGGAUAUUAAUUGUGAUUAAAUACUUGUAAAAUUAGUAAUUGAUCAAGACAAAAUCUAUCGACUUUGAUAAUAAUGACUAAAUUAAGACCUUAGUCAGGACAAUUGAAUGAAAGAAGAAAAAAAUUUCUUAUGUCAUUCAAUAGUCAGUUAUAAUUGACAUGAAACAUGGUUGGUUACCUAAUGAGAUUUGAUAGUUAAAUUAUAUUCUAGGGUUAACGUGGAACAAUAAUAAUGGAAUGAAAUAUUACAUCACUUUUUAAUAAGUUUUUAAGAGUAAUUAUACACUUCAUGCUAUCUGUAACGGCCCCAGAAUUUUAAAAUGAAAUAUGUGUAUUAAAAAUGUCAAAUGCGGAAGCGUAAUAAAAAUUUUAAUUAACAUCCCUUACACUAAAACCAAAAACGUGCUCAAAGUAUAAAAUAACAAACUAACUAAAAGAGAAACUCGAAAAUAAAAGUUAUAAAUAUAACUACGGAGUCUUCAGGCGUCCCCUUCGCCGUCUUCCUGCGGAACGGGCUCGGGAACAAUGUCUUCCUGAUCUGAAAUGGUUAAAUAAGGAAUGAGCUACACUAGCCCAGUAAAGACAUCACACUAUCUCACCGUCACGGAGGUAAAGGUGGGUAGAAAACACAAAAAGACCAAUGGAGCAUAAUUUACAACAAAUUCUUUUAUCAAUAAUAAAAUCCUUUACUGUCCACCUACCUCGGUGAAGUUCAUAAAACAACAUACGAAAGCAAUAACAUUAUCAUCAUCAUGAAAUUAUAUGAACUGUAUAACAUAAUACUUAUCACGCCUUUUGCAUUUCAAUCGUUACACAACAUAUUUUUCCUCAUUUACCAGCCUACUAGUAUCCAUGGGGAUCCAUAGGGGUCCCGCUACUCGUGAACCCUUAACACUUGUAAUCAGAUUCCAGGGUCGUCCCCAUACCCCGUCCGGUAUGGGCGCCAAAACUAUAAACCUCAAUACCCCGUCCGGUAUGAGGGUGAAACGAGCCGUUCACAUACCCCGUCCGGUAUGGGCACCAAAACACAUAAGGUCUCCAUACCCCGUCCGGUAUGAGAGACCACAAUCCUGGUAGGGUUUCCUACAGACCCGAUCCGUCCACCAUCUCCCAGGAUAUCUAGUCAGGUUGACUACAUUAUCCAAUUAUCAAUUUACGUAACCUUUUAUUCCCUUUUUUCUCAGUCAGCAUCAUCAAAUCAUACACAAACAGGCAAACCAGUAAUGUAUGCCAAAUAAGACAACACACAACAUCGGGUUCUCAGUCAUUCAAUCCAUAAUCAAUAAAACAGUGAAAUAUGUACACGAAACUAUGAAAUGAAAACAUCAGACAUCAUACCGCAAAUAAAACUGUAAAAUAGGACAAACAACAGCUGACCGACAAACACACCUGACUCGGGCUCCAUUAGCGACCUUAAACAAUCUCACACAUCUAUUGAUUCAUGAAAUACCGUUUUAGCAUUUAUUGAACUUUAAUACCGUGAUAGGAAAUAGGGUGAGGGGUCAUUACUUGUUUUCGGGGUCUGAAUACGGCUCUACAGUGCGCCUACAGGCUGUCUCUAAUUUUUCCUGAAUUUUUUUUUCGGGAAACUGAAACACACUACUAGUACCUGCACGUGUCCCAAAAAAUCCCAAAUUAGACCCAGGGCCCCUUUCGGCCAAUAUUACAAUUCCGGUACGGUGGCUCCGCCGUGCUCCGGCGACGGCGCUGCCGCUUGCAGCGGCGAUUCGCCUUGGGUUGGCCGUUUUCGGCCGUUUCCGGUCGAAUUCGGCCACACUUGCAUCGGUCCCUGUGAUAAAACAACCCUAGGGCCCUCGGGGGGCUAAAAAAAUUACGAAAAACUGAAGCUUACCGGCGGCGGUGCUCUCGGGUGCGGCGGCUCUCCGGUGAGGUUCAUGUUUUGGUGAUUUGGCUCCGAUCAACCUGUAGAGAAAAGAAUGGUGAUCACGGUGAUAUAAAAAUUGUAUCAAACGGAGGCCGGGAAGGGCCUCAUCGGAGGCAAAAAUCGAGGAGGGGCGCGGUGGCGCCGCUGGGUUUCAGUCGUGUUUGCUGGCCGUUUAGCCGGGAGUUUGGCUCCAAUUUGGCCACAGGGGAACUCAGCAUUGAAAAACGAGCUGGGGGUAUGAAAUUUACCUCGAUCGGCGGUCGAAAAACUCCCCGGUACAGCGGCGGGUGGCGGCGGCCGGCUCCUCCGGCGUCUGGUUCGUCUUCUCCGGUGAGGGCUGGCAGCUAGGAUUUUUGUGGUCAGGUGUGGGGGGUUUAUUUAUACCCUUUGCCUUUUAAUCACAACCGUCCAUCUUGAUUUAAUCUGGGUCGUUCGAUCGUAAUUUAAUUUGGAUUAAAUCUGGGCCGUCCAUCGCGAUUAAAUCUGGGUCAUCCGUACUUGAUUGAAUCUGGGCCGUCCGUGCGCGUGCAUCUGGGCCGUCCAUGCACACGCUUGAUCUGGGCCGUCCGUGCGCGCGGGAACGCAUCUGGGCCGUCCGAUCGCGCGCACGCGGAUCGCCCACAUGGCCUGUUCCCGGGUCGGCGUGGACUUGCCACGCGGCAGGUCCUGGUUGGCCAGGGCUGCUGACUGGGCCGCUGACGUGGCUGCUGACGUGGCACUAACGGGGCACAACUUUUUUAAAUUACGUUUUGACCCGCGGGUCUGAUUUCUUUUCAAAAAUACCCCCAUAAUCCAAAUUUUCACCCCUUUUUCCCAAAAUCAAUUUCAAUUAAAUCCAAAUAAUAUUUUUACCCAAUUUUAUCAUUAUUAUUAUUUUUAUUUUUAUUAAAUUAAAUUAAAUAAAUCAAUUAAAAUUAAAUAAUUACAAAAUAAAUUAAAAAUUAAUAAUAAUAAUAAUAAAAAUGAUAAAAUUAAUGGUUGUUACAACUCUCCCCCCCUUAAAGAAAUUUGGUCCCCCAAAUUUGCCUCUUACUCUUAGUCGAACAAAUGAGGAUACUGAACUCUAAAUUCUGAUUCCAGUUCCCAAGUAGCCUCCCUGGGUGUGUGGUUCUGCCACACAACCUUUACAAAUGAUAUUUUCCAGUUACGGAGUAUUCUGCUCUCUCGGUCCGUGAUACCGACCGGUACUUCUUCAUAAGACAAGUCAUCUUGGAGUGGAAGCGGUUCAUGAGCCAAGACAUGAGAAGGGUCCGGGUUGUACUUACGUAGCAUAGAUACGUGAAACACGUUGUGAACUCGGGAGAGCUCGGGAGGCAGUGCUAGUCUAUAGGCAGCGGUACCAAUCUUGUCUAAGAUUUCAAAGGGUCCAAUAUAUCGGGGGUUUAAUUUUUCCCUCCUGCCGAACCUACUAAUUCCUUUGAAAUAAGUAACCUUAAGAAACACACGAUCGCCUUUCUCAAACGCUAGGUCUCUCCUCCGGAUAUCUGCAUAACUCUUCUGCCUACUUUGAGCUGUCUGAAUGUUCUUCUUAAUUUUAACUAUCUUGGACGUGGUCUCCUCUACCAACUCCGGGCCGAACAAUCUUCUAUCGCCCACUUCCUCCCAACAAAUCGGUGACCUGCACGGGUGCCCAUAUAGCGCCUCAUAUGGAGCCAUGCCGAUACUUGCUUGGUAGCUGUUGUUGUAGGCAAACUCUAUCAGGGGUAGAUGGUCGUUCCAAUGGCCCCCGGAGUCAAGGACACAAGCUCGGAACAUAUCCUCAAGCGUACGAAUUGUCCUCUCUGAUUGUCCAUCAGUCUGGGGAUGGAAGGCAGUACUAAGAGACAGCUUUGUUCCCAUAGCUUGCUGGAAGCUACUCCAAAACCGAGAGGUGAACCUGGGAUCCCUAUCGGACACUACUGUUACUGGAACCCCAUGCAAUCUGACUAUCUCCCGGAUAUACAUCCUUGCCAACUUGUCCAAUGAAUCGGUCAUCCUGAUGGCUAGGAAGUGGGAAGACUUGGUAAAUCGGUCAACGAUUACCCAUAUGGCAUCGUGUCCUGAACGCGCCUUGGGUAGCCCCGAUACGAAGUCUAUAGUGAUAUGUUCCCACUUCUAUUCCGGGAUCAGUAAAGGCUGAAGUAACCCACCUGGGUGCUGAUGCUCUACCUUGACUUGCUGACAUACCAAACAUUUAGAUACAAAGUCGGCUAUGUCUUUCUUCAUCCCAUGCCGCCAAAACCGGGGUCGUAUGCUUUGGUACAUUUUGGUGCUUCCUGGAUGCAUGGCAAACUUCGAGCCAUGGGACUCUGUCAUGAUAUCCCUUUUUAACUCACUGUCAUCUGGAGCACACACCCUGUCUUGGAAACGAAGUAGUCCAUCGGCAGAUAUUUGGAAUUCUGAGCUCCCUCCCUGUUCUGUAUCCUUUUUGCAGGCUACCAGGGCGGGGUCAACUGUCUGGGCUUCCCUUAUUCUCUGAAUUAACUCGGGCUGGACUGUCAGGCGGCCCAAACAUGUGACUCUCUUCAGAUCAUGAAGUCUAACCUGUUGUGUGGCCCCAAUUGGUCUGCAUUCUGAAACCAUCAAAUGGGCUAAGAUACCUGUACUUUUCCUGCUGAGGGCAUCUGCUACCACGUUGCCCUUACCCGGAUGGUAUAAGAUGUCACAAUCAUAGUCCUUAAGGAGUUCCAUCCACCUUCUCUGACGCAUGUUGAGAUCUUUCUGAGUGAAGAUAUGCUUCAAACUCUUAUGAUCGGUAUAGAUCUGAAAGGUCUCUCCAUACAAAUAAUGGCGCCAAGUUUUCAAGGCGUGUAUGAUUGCGGCAAGCUCCAAGUCAUGGGUAGGAUAGUUCUUCUCAUGAUUCUUUAGCUGUCUGGACCCAUAUGCUAUAACCUUUCCAUGCUGCAUCAGGACACAACCCAGGCCCAGAUAGGAGGCAUCACUAUAAACUGUAUAUCCUCUCGAUCCACUCGGUAAGGCUAGCACGGGUGCAGUGGUCAGCCGCUUCUUUAAUUCUAAAAAACUUCUUUCGCAGCCUUCAUUCCACUCGAACUUGGCAUUCUUCUUUGUGAGUCGGGUUAGAGGAGCUGCUAGACUGGAGAAUCCUUCAACGAACCUGCGGUAAUAACCUACCAUUCCCAAGAAGCUACGGAUUUCCUUAACUGAUGUCAGUUUCUCCCAACCAAGUACCGCUUCAACCUUUUCAGGAUUUACUGAUACCCCUUCCUAUCUGCUAUCUCCACGGCACAUGCCCUGUAGAUAACCUCUCCUAGCAAUGUCUCCCCCCCAACGGUAGAUACAAGCAACAAUGAAUCAAGUCUAUCAGGUGAUACACAAAUUUUGGAAGCAAGAACAUGUGAAACAAAAGAAUGUGAUGCACCAGUGUCAAACAAAACAUGAGCAAUGUGGCCAGAUAUAGUAUACAUACCAUGUACCACGUCCAGGUCUGCGUCGGCAUCCUUCUGGGUAAGGUUGUAAACUCUGUCCUGGAUUUGAGGCCUUCUUUGAUUCUGGUUCCUCGGGCAUUCCCUUGCAUAGUGCUGGGCACUACCGCAUAUGCGACAGGUGUUGCUGAGGUGGUAGCAGAGUCGGUCCCCGUGAUCCCUACCGCAGUGCUGGCAGAUCUUCCCACGUGCUGCCCCCGUAGCCUGAGGAGGGGGCUGGAUGGCGGGUCUGGGCCUCUUACUGGGUUGGACAGGCGCGGUAGGUGCUGGCCUGCGGAGCGGGGCUGAGGGUCGGGAACUCCCCGCUAGCUGAGGGUGGGUGUCGAAGCUCCUUUCUAUGAUCUACGCCUUUGCUAAGACUGCUGAAUAUGUCUCGAGCUCCAUUACCAGUAAAUGCUGUCUGAUCUCCGGGCGGAGACCCCACUGGAAUUUCUUGGCCUUUCAGCCCUCAUCCAUCAAUGUCUCCGGGGCAUAUCGGCUCAGCUCCAGGAACUUACGAGCAUACUCCGACACUGUCAUGUUUCCCUGGACCAAUUGAGCAAACUCCAUUUCCUUUAGGUGUCGGAUGUGUUUAGGGAGAUACUCCGCGUGAAAGGCCGCUAAAAACUGCUCCCAAGUAGCUGGUGUAGGCAGGGUGGUCCGCUUGAGCUCCCACCAGCAUACUGUUUCCCCUACCAGCAUGUAGGAGGCAAUGGUAGCCCUCUGCUCAGGAACUACUCCCAAGGUCUCGAAAGCUCUCUCAGUCUCUGCCAGCCAGUAUUGGGCCUCUUCAAAAGAGGAUCUCCCUGCAAAAGUAGAAAGGUUCAGUCUUCUGUACCUCUCUAUGAAGCUGGGGUCGAUCAAGGAAGGAGCGGGGUCCCGAGGUAGAGGGACUGGGGCCGGCUGAGGGUGAACUGGAGGGCCCUGUGGUGGCACCUGCUGAUGUGGUGGGGGUACUGGAAUGUGUUGUGGCGGUGCCUGGUGGUACCGUAGCUGUGGUACCAGGUCGUACCGCGGCUGUGGUGCCGGGUGGUACUGUGGAGGAGCAGGCUCCUGCCGGGGUGGCUCGGGAUCAGCCUGCUGUAGCGGGGGCUCAACCUGCGAUAGCGGAGGAGGUCCGAGUAACUCCCUUCUCUCCUCUCGCCUUUGCUGGGCAGCUACGAGAGCUUCCACCAUCUCAAAUAGUCUGUCUAAAUCCUCCCGAAGCAAAUUAUCUUGGGCCGCUCGGUUUAGUGGGGGUCUUCCUCUCCUCAUUUUCAUGUACCUGCAUUCACAAGGAAUGGUUGAGUAACGAUCUAUCGGUGAGUACUUCUCUAAGGCACUAUUGUGUAAGGGAUGGGUCCGAGGAAACACGGCUCUGAUACCAACUGUAACGGCCCCGGAAUUUUAAAAUGAAAUAUGUGUAUUAAAAAGGUCAAAUGCGGAAGCGUAAUAAAAAUGUUGAUUAACAUCCCUUACACUAAAACCAAAAACGUGCUCAAAGUAUAAAAGAACAAACUAACUAAAAGAGAAACUCGAAAAUAAAAGCUAUAAAUAUAACUACGGAGUCUUCAGGCGUCCCCUUCGCCGUCUUCCUGCGGAACGGGCUCGGGAACAAUGUCUUCCUGAUCUGAAAUGGUUAAAUAAGGAAUGAGCUACACCAGCCCAGUAAAGACAUCACACUAUAUCACCGUCACGGAGGUAAAGGUGGGUAGAAAACACAAAAAGACCAAUGGAGCAUAAUUUACAACAAAUUCUUUUAUCAAUAAUAAAAUCCUUUACUGUCCACCUACCUCGGUGAAGUUCAUAAAACAACAUACGAAAGCAAUAACAUUAUCAUUAUCAUGAAAUCAUAUGAACUGUAUAACAUAAUACUUAUAAUGCCUUGUGUGUUUCAAUCGUUACACAACAUAUUUUUCCUCAUUUACCAGCCUAGUAGUAUCCAUGGGGAUCCAUAGGAGUCCCGCUACCCGUGAACCCUUAACACUUGUAAUCAAAUUCCAGGGCCGUCCCCAUACCCCAUCUGGUAUGGGCGCAAAAACUAUAAACCUCAAUACCCCGUCUGGUAUGAGGGUGAAACGGGCCGUCCCCAUACCCCGCCCGGUAUGGGUGCCAAAACACAUAAGGUCUCCAUACCCCGUUCGGUAUGAGAGACCACAAUCCCGGUAGGGUUCCCUACGGACCCGGUCCGUCCACCAUCUCCCAGGAUAUCUAGUCAGGUUGACUACAUUAUCCAAUUAUCAAUUUACGUAACCUUUUAUUCCCUUUUUCCUCAGUCAGCAUCAUCAAAUCACACACAAACAGCCAAACCAGUAAUUUAUGCCAAACAAGACAACACACAACAUCGGGUUCUCAGUCAUUCAAUCCAUAAUCAAUAAAACAGUGACAUAUGCACACGAAACUACGAAAUGAAAACAUUAGACCUCAUACCGCAUUUAAAACUGUAAAAUAGGACAAACAAGAGCUGACCGACAAACACACCAGACUCGGGCUCCAUUAGCGACCUUAAAUAAUCUCACACAUCUAUUGAUUCAUGAAAUACCGUUUUAGCAUUUAUUGAACUUUAAUACCGUGAUAGGAAAUAGGGUGAGGGGUCCUUACUUAUUUUUGGGAUCUGAAUACGGCUUUACAGUGCGCCUACAGGCUGUCCCUAAUUUUUUCUGAAUUUUUUCCGAGGGAACUGAAACACACUACUAGUACCUGCACGUGUCCCAAAAAAUCCCAAAUUAGACCUAGGGCCCCUUUCGGCCAAUACCGCAAUUCUGGCAUGGCGGCUCCGCCGUGCUCCGGCUACGGUGCCGCCGCAAGCGGCGGCAAUUCGCCUCGGGUUGGCCGUUUUCGGUCGAAUUCGGCCACACUUGCAUCGAUCCCUGCGAUAAAACAACCCUAGGGCCCUCGGGGGGCCAAAAAAAUUACGAAAAACCGAAGCUUACCGGCGGCGGUGCUCUCGGGUGCGGCGGCUCUCCGGCGAGGUUCGUGUUUUGGUGAUUUGGCUCCGAUCAACCUGUAGAGAAAAGAAUGGUGAUCACGGUGAUAUAAAAAUUGUAUCAAACGGAGGCCGGGAAGGGCCUCAUCGGAGGCAAAAACCAAGGAAGGGCGCAGCGGCGCCACUGGGUUUCGGCCGUGUUUGCCGGCCGUUUGGCCGGGAGUUUGGCUCCGAUUUGGCCACAGGGGAACUCAGCAUUGAAAAACGAGCUGCGGGUAUGAAAUUUACCUCGAUCGGCGGUCGAAAAACUCCCCGGUGCGGCGGCGGGUGGCGGUGGCCGGCUCCUCCGGCGUCCGGUUCGUCUUCUCCAGCGAGGGCUGGCGGCUAGGGUUUUUGUGGUCAGGUGUGGGGGGUUUAUUUAUACCCUUUGCCUUUUAAUCACAGCCGUCCAUCUUGAUUUAAUCUGGACCGUUCGAUCGCGAUUUAAUUUGGAUUAAAUAUGGGCCGUCCAUCGCGAUUAAAUCUGGGCCGUCCGUACUUGAUUGAAUAUGGGUCGUCCAUGUGCGUGCAUCUGAGCCGUCCGUGCGCACGCUUGAUCUGGGCCGUCCGUGCGCGCGAAGAUGCAUCUGGGCCGUCCGAUCGCGCGCACGCGGAUCGGCCACGUGGCCCGUUCCCGGGUCAGAGUGGCCUUGCCACGCGGCAGGUCCUGGUUGGCCAGGGCUGCUGACGUGGUGCUGACGGGGCACAACUUUUUUAAAUUACAUUUUGACCCCCGGUUUCCGAUUUUCUUUUCAAAAAUACUCCCAUAAUCCAAAUUUUCACCCAUUUUUUUUAAAAUCAAUUUCAAUUAAAUCCAAAUAAUAUUUUUACCCAAUUUUAUCAUUAUUAUUAUUUUUAUUUUUAUUAAAUUAAAUUAAAUAAAUCAAUUAAAAUUAAAUAAUUAUAAAAUAAACUAAAAAUUAAUAAUAAUAAUGAUAAUAAUAAAUAAUAAAAUUAAUGGGUGUUACACUAUCUGAUUGUUAAAAAGUAUUGUUAGACGUCAAUUUUGAUUAAUAUAUUAGUUUGACUAAUUUACUACCGGUUUAAUUUUAAACAUAAACAUAUGGAGUCGCACACUAAAAAGUGUUCUAAAUUUUGCUAAAUAAAUUAAUUAUUUAAUAAUUAAAUUAAAAAUUUUAAUUUAAUUAAAUAAAUAAAAUUUUUAAUGUAAAUAAAAUAUUAUUAUAUUUUUUGCUAGUAUAGAGAAUGUAAUUAAUAUUAGAGACAAAUUAAAUUUUUUUAUUUUAUAAAUAAAAAAUUAAUAUUUAUAUUUUAAAUUAUUAUAAUAAUAUAAUAUUUGAGGUCAUUAUUGAAAAUUAUUAUAAAAUUUAAUUUAAAAUUAAAUUGGUUUAUAAAAUUAUUUUAUUAAAUAAUAAUAAUAAUAAAGGCAACAUAUAUAUAUAUAUGGGAUAUAUAUAAUUGGGUGUUAAAAAGAAAAAAAAAAAGAAAAAAAAAAGUCCAAAUUAGUUUGGACGGUACAACAAGUUGGACUUGAACUUUAUAUAUAUAUAUAUGUAUAUAUGUAAUUUGGUGCUAAAAAAAAAAAAAGAAAAAGUCUAAAUUAAUUUGGACUUGUACAGGAGGAAAAAGUCCAAAUAAGAAUUAAUAACUACUCACGCCACCUAUAUAUAGGUGAUAUAUAUAUAUAUAUUAAUAGGGAUCGCAAAAUCAGAGAAGGGAAGAAAACAAACCUAGCCGCACACACACCAAAAGAAAAGAAAAAAAAUUGAGUGAAUUAAAAAAAAAAAAUUGUGAAAAAAUUUUAACACAAAUAUUAUUUAAUUUGUUUGCGUAUUCCAUUAAUUAAGGAAUUGAUCAGCAAAUAUCAAUUUUAGUAUAGAUAUGCAUAGAAUGUUUAUAUUUUCGAAUAAAUUUAAUUUGAGAAACUGUUAUAAGAUAUGUUUUGGAUUGUUUAUAUAUUCUAUCGCGUGUUAUGAAUAUAUUACAAUCUUAUAUCAUAAGUAAUUAUAAUUGUUACUUUUCAUUCAUUUAUCAUCACAAAUAUAAAAAAUCUAUAUACUUAUAUCAUAAUGGUCAUACUUUCUGUUUAUCUAUCACAACGAAACUAUGAUCUACUAAAAAAUGUUCAAUAACUCUUAAACAAUUUAAAUCCUAAAAAAUAAGAUAGUGUUUUAAAGUUUAGAAAAUCAAAUUUACACAAAUGAGUGUUUUUUCAUCUUUCGUUCUUUUUUUAACAAAAUUUCAUAACUUUAAUAGUUCUUGGACGUGGCCUUGAUCAUCCUAUCUGAAGAUAAUAAAAAAAAAUAGUGAAUCAUAUUAAGUAAGAAUAAUUUAAAAUUUCAAUAUAUAGAUUGAAUAUAAUAUAUUGAUACUCAUGAGAAUCUGAUUUCAAUACAUCGAUAAACUAAUCUACUAUCCUCUUCAAAUAUACUUCAAUUCAUUCAUGAAGCAUCCACGAUUACACAAUUUAAUUUCAUGUAUACAAUUUUGAUCCAUUCUCAAUUGAUUUAGCACAAAAGUAUAAAUAUAUUGAUUAUACAUGAUCACAUAUAAAAUACCUUUCCUCAUAUACAUGUUUAUAUUGCUACAAAUUUCCAUGAUUCACAAACAACCUACACACAUUCACAGAAACUUGUUUUUUUUCAUGUAAUGUCAUUCAGUUACAAUCACAGAGAGAAAUAAUAUUUUUCACUAUCAAUAUGGACGUACCCAUAAUUACGCUUCCAUAAUGCAUAACUACAGUUAUUGUUACAAAAUAAUAAAUACUAUGUGAGAUAGAGUUCAUAAUCAUUUCCUAUCCAUUUUGGGCAAUAUAUUUAUUUACAACUCUCUGAUGAGGAAUCUUUACUAGAUAUACCCAGUAUAUUCCCUAAUAAAAUUUAUUUAAGAUUAUAUUUUGGUCAUCCUACUUAAUUAUAUUCAUUUAAGUUUCGUGCGGGUUCUAUUUUUUUAUUUUCAAAAGCCUAAUUUAUUAAUUCGUAAAUCAUUGAACAUAUUAAUUCCGAAUUUAUUUUAAUUUCAAAGAUGAUCAAAAGAUUUUGAUUCACACAAUUAACUUCAAAAUAUUCAUUUGAUAAAAUGAUUUUAAUCACUCCACAAACUCAUAUUCACCUAACAAUUUUGGUAACUCAUCGCGGUAGGAUUUGCUAUUAAUCUUUAGUUAUUAUAGUUUCUUAAUCAUUAAUUGUUAAUGUGUAACAUCCCUUACACUAAAACCAAAAACGUGCUCACAAAAUAUAAAAGAUCAAACUAACUAAAGGAGAAACUCGAAAGUAAAAGCUAUGACUAUGACUAUGGAGUCUUUAGGCGUCCCCUUCGUCGUCCUCCUGCGGAACGGGCUCGGGAACAAUGUCUUCCUGAUCUGAAAUGAUUAAAUAAGGAAUGAGCUACACUAGUCCAGUAAAGACAUCACGAUAUCUCACCGUCACAGAGGUAAAGGUAGGUAGAAAACACAAAAAGACCAAUGGAACAUAAUUUACAACAAAUGCUUUUAUCCAUAAUAAAUCAUUUACCAUCCACUUACCUCGGUGAAAUUCAUAAAAUAAUAUACGAAAGCAAUAACAUUAUCAUCAUCAUGAAAUCAUAUAGACUGUAUAACAUAAUACUUAUCACGCCUUUUGUAAUUCAAUCAUUACACAACAUAUUUUCCUCAUUUACCAGCCCACUAGUAUCCAUGGGGAUCCAUAGGGGUCCCACUACCCGUUAACCCUUAACACUUGAAAUCAGAUUCCAGGGCCGUCCCCAUACCCCGUUCGGUAUGGGUGCCAAAACUAUAAACGUCAUUACCCCGUCCGGUAUGAGGGUGAAACGGGCCGUCCCCAUACCCCAUCCGGUAUGAGCGCCAAAAUAUAUAAGGUCUCCAUACCCCGUCCGGUAUGAGAGACCACAAUCCCGGUAAGGUUCUCUACGGACCCGGUCUGUCCACCAUCUCCCAGGAUAUCUAGUCAGGCUGACCACAUUAUACAAUUAUCAAUUUACAUAAUCUUUCAUUCUCCUUUUCCUCAGUCAGCAUCAUCAAUUUACAUACAAACAAGCAAACAGUAAUUUUAUGCCAAACAAGACAACAUACAGCAUCGGUUUCUCAGUCAUUCAACCCAUAAUCAAUAAAACAGUAAAAUAUGCACGCGAAACAAUGAAAUGAAAACAUCAGACCUCAUACUGCAUUUAAAACUGUAAAAUAUGUCAAAUAACAGUUAACCGACAAACACACUAGACUCGGGCUCCAUUAACGACCUUAAGCAAUUUCACACAUUCUUUGAUUCAAGAAAUACCGUUUUAUCAUUUUUGAACUUUAAUACCGUAAUAGGAAAUAGGGUGAGGGGUCCUUACUCGUUUCGGGGUCCGAACACGGCUUCACAGUGCGCCUACAGGCUGUCCCUAAUUUUUCUUGAAUUUUUUUCGGGGAACUGAAACGCACUACUGGUACCUGCACGUGUUCCAAAAAAUCCCAAAUUAGGCCCAGGGCCCCUUUUUGGCCAAUAUCGCAAUUCCGGCACGGCGGCGAUUCGCCUUGAUUUGGCCGUUUUCGGCCGUUUCCGACCGAAUUCAGCCACACUUGCAUCGGUCCUUGCGAUAAAACAACCCUAGGGCCCUCGGGGGGCCAAAAAAUUAAGGAAAACCGAAGCUUACCGGCGGCGGUGCUCUCGGGUGCGGCGGCUCUCCGGUGAGGUUCGUGUUUUGGUGAUUCGGCUCCGAUCAACCUGUAGAGAAAAGAAUGGUGAUCACGGUGAUAUAAAAAUUGCAUCAAACGGAGGACGGGAAGGACCUCAUCGGAGGCAAAAACCGAGGAGGGACGCGGCGGCGCCGCUGGGUUUCGGCCGUGUUUUUGGCUCCGAUUUGGCCACAGGGAAAAUCAGCGUGGAAAAACGAGUCGGGGGUAUGAAAUUUACCUCGAUCGGCGGUCGGAAAUCUCCCCGGUGCGGCGGCGGGUGGCGGCGGCCGGCUUCUCCGGCGUCUGGUUCGUCUUCUCCGGCGAGGGCAGGACGCUAGGGUUUUUGUGGUCAGGUGUGGGGGUUCUAUUUAUACCCUUUUACUUUUUGAUCUCAGCCGUCCAUUUUGAUUUAAUCUGGGCCGUCCGUUUUUGAUUGAAUCUGGGCCGUCCGUGCGCACGCUUGAUCUGGGCCGUCCGAUCGCGCGUACGCGGAUCGCCAACGUGGCUCGUCCCCG
rnacentral:lncRNA from 1 species